GCAGGUCGUCGUCCCCCUGCGUGCGGUAAGGAAGGUGAGCAUCCCCCCUCGCGUAGCUCGCUCUCCUGCGUGUCUUCGCCGUCAUAGAUCGCGUGUAGGAACAUCGCACCCGCCUGCCGCCAUAGUUGCAUGUUGCAAGCUCGGGGCUUUGCCCCCCCCUCUGUAGAUCGAGGCGAGUUAGCCCUCGGAAUGGAACCACCAGGGCACCCCGCACCUCCUGUGUAGUGCAGCUCCUCCGAUGAGAGUCGUCGUCGCCGUCGGCGAUGCCAUGGUUCCUCUGUCGUGGUCGGGAGAGAAGUCGACGUCUUACGUGUUUAACUUCGAUUGAGCCCCACUCCUAGCAUAACCACCUAUCAUAGCCCGACUGGCAGCAGAGUGCGCGUUUGUCCUAUUGUUGCUAAGUUGUAGAGGCAGCUCAUCUGAGUUCAUGCCCCUAGUAGGACAGCUACUCUCGUGUAGACCAGCGGUUAGGGGCAGUAUUUGUUGUGGAGAAGUAGUGGGUUCGACUCCCGCUACUCCCAUUUUACUCUGUGAUUAUUUUGUGUUGUAGUGUGCCACUGAUAGGUGGGUCUAGGGCCCACAUGUCAUGCUCUAGGGAACCCUGGUGAGUAUGACCAGUGGGACCCUCCCUGUUGUUGAUAUGUGUUUUGUUUUUUAUUGGCUUUGAUGAAUGUCCAAAUCUGGAAUAUUCGAGAAGAGGGAAUUGCCAAAUUUGGUAGGUUCAUGAAAAGUUCCUGUUCUUGACAUUAGUAUAGUUUGAUGGUGUGUAGUUUUUCUUUUGUUGUUUGUGGUGUUUUUAUGCAUGCAAAUAUAUAAGUACGAUAUAUGGUUUUGGGUAGAAAAAUCCAAGGAAUGCAAUGGUGACACCGGAUUCUGGAGUUGAGCAGUUCUGCAAAAGUGUCACUUUGUGGUGAGGUGGCACUUGUUUACCUCCGAAUGAUUAUUUAUGUGCAUAAUUAGGGGUUGUGCAUCCAUGCAUCAUAUUGAUUGUUGCAUUACCAAUUGCUGGUGUUUAUUUAUUGUUUGUUUCUUCUGGGUAGCUACUGGGUCCGGAAACGAGUUCGAGGAGUCCGGUGAGUUCGUGCAGGAAGAUUAGGAACAGUUCCACUCUGAAGAUAUCACAGGCAAGAUGAUCGUGACCUUGACACCGUUUCUAGCUUUGUUAUGCUUAGUUGCUACGUUUACAUCGUUAUAUUUCCACUGCCUACCACAUGAUAUAUAGUCCAUCAAACAUUGCCAUGAAACAUCAAACACCUCCCCUCCUAGCAAAUAUUGUUUGUCUAAGUUAGGCUUGCUCAACCACUAAUUUAUUAGCGUUGCUAGUAGCAGGUGCCAGCUGGUCCAUGUGCUAACAUGGGCAAUUUGAUAUCAUCCUAUUUAAAUUGCUAUUUAAUUAAUGCACCUAUAUACUUGGUAAAUAGCGGAAGGCCUGGCCUUUUUCCGGGUGAUUUGUUCCGUUGUUGCCGCCUUAGUUUCGGCUAUGAGUAUUUUAUUCCAUAACUGAGCGCUCCUAACACGUUCAGGGUUGUUAUGGGGACCUCCUUGGUAAACCGUUUAGUGUUAAGGAUUGUCUAGCAAGACCCAACUUUGGUUUUAAUUUUCUAAUAACUUAAUAAAAAAAUAGGGAAUAGCUACCCCGAGGAAGUUAAUCAACCCCCGGGCCAGCGCUCCUCAUGAGUGUUGGUCCACCCACCUAGCAGUCGACGAUGCCACCUCGGGGAAACUCGAGUCGUUUGGCUAUCGUCCACUAUGCAUAGACGGUUGUGUCCUCAUAACGAGACACACGGCUCCUAUCGGGUUCAUCGACACACCGGGUGGUCUUGCUGGACUUGUCUUACCUUAGCGAUAUAUCUUGCGCAUUAGGAUUUCGAUGAGACUUUGGGUCUUCUGAGAGUUGAGGUUUUACUCUAAGGAAUCCGACGAGAUCACGAGUUUCGUGGUUGAGGAUUACUAUGCGGCCUGUGGUAAUUUGUGGUGGAUUAGUUGGAGCACCCCUGCAGGGUCAAAUCUUUCGGAAAGCUGUGCCCGCGGUUAUGUGGCAAACAUGGAUAUUUUGUUAACAUCCAGUUCUAGAUAACUUAAAGUAACUUAACUAAAACCUGCCAACUGUGUACGUAACUGUGAUUGUUUCUUUCAGAGCUCCUUCUCUGAUCAAGAACAUGAUGGGGUUAUGAAUAACGUAAGUAGGUGUUCAGGAUCACUUAGUGAUCAUUCUUAGAUCUCGACCAUCUUACGUAGACCACCAUAACUUAUUUCUAUUCUUCAUAAGUUAGCCACCAUAUAUGCUUAGGUUGCUGCAAACUCAAACACUUACCCCAACCUCACCUAUUAACUUAGUUAGACUCGAUACCAAGGUCAUGAGAUUGUUGAGUCCUUGUGGCUCACAGUUUAUUACAACCACCCACAGGUACAUGUACUCCAGAUGCAGACGUCCCCGAGAAUACUCAACUGAGGUGGCAUUUCGACGAGGCCAAUGGCGGGCUAUACGUGAUGUAUCCCGAGGAUUAGAGGCGCUUGGUCGUGAUCGCAAGCCUAGCAAGGCGGGAUAGCAUUGUUUUGUCGUUUAUCUUGUUCGUAGCCGGACCCUGUCUUAUGUAUGAAUAACGAAUGCUUGUGUGGAUUGUAAUCUAACAUGUGGCGAGUGUAAGCCAAAUCUUAAUACUCAUCUCUCUAUUUAUCUUAUGGCAAUGUUAUCCUGCUUGCAAUACGCUUAGAUGCGACCCUUUCCCCUUUUGAGGCCUCGCCGCCAAAUAAGGAAAGUGUCGCAUCUUAGUCGUCACAGUGCAAGUGAGAUAGAUCUUUGGGAGGAACCGCGGACUGAAGGAUGAACAAUGCGGAAUGAUUGUAUUGAUUGUUCUCCUCUUCUCUUGGAGUGAAGUUGUUUGGAUCAUGUGGAUAGAAGCCUUGUUUGAUGAUUCUCCAAAGAUUUGUUAAGCUGUGAUUCAUAUGAGACUUGAUGCAAAAGACCCAAUUAGCUAAAUCACCUUUAACAAGUUUAGGAGGAGGACCAAGGUUAUUAAUAUGCGGUGUAGGGACCGGUCCUCCAUAGACCGAGGGAGGAGGGACCGAGGCAAAGGUUCCUCUCCCAUUCUUGUCAAGAGGGGAAGAAGUUCAAGUACCUCCAGCUGCUUCCUUUUUGGAAUUGGCCUCCAACUCCGAUGUGGUGGGUUUAGCCACGAGCAACGGUUCGGGAGAAUUCUUCAUCCCUUCAAGUAAUUCUUUAAGCAUGGACUUGACUUCGAUUGUCAUGAACAUCUUAACUAAGGCUAUAGCCUCAUUCAAGUCGUCACGUGUGAUCAAAAUCAACUCCAUGGCCCCGGGCACUUCAUGCCCACUCCCACCGUCGUCAACCAUACUCUUCGGGUGGUGAAACCCUGAAUAAAGAGACGUGGCUCUGAUACCAAUUGAAAUGAUCGAUAUGGUUGACUAGACGGGGUGAAUAGGCAACUACCAAUUUUUAGCUUUUCUUAACAAACUAGGGUUAGCAACAAAAGGUUCUCUAGAUGAACAACUAGGUGAGCAACCUAUAUGAUGCUAACAACAACAACGACAAGUGCAAGCAAGGAAUACAACACAACAAUAAAAAGGACAAAGUAAAUGUAAGAGAUAACCACAAGUGGAACCGGUGGAGACGAGGAUGUGUUACCGAAGUUCCUUCCCUUUGACAGGAAGUAUGUCUCCGUUGGAGCGGUGUGGAGGCACAGUGCUUCCCAAAAAAGCCACUAAGGCCACCGUAUUCUCCUCACGCCCUCACACAAUGCGAGAUGCCGUGAUUCCACUAGUGGCGCCCUUGAAGACGGCGACCGAACCUUCACAAACAAGGUUGGCGCUAUCUCCACACAAAGCUUGGAGGCUCCCAACAAGACCACGGAGCUUCACCACAAUGGAAUGUGGCUUCGAGGUGACCUCAACCGUCUAGGGUGCUCAAACACCCAAAAGUAACAAGAUCAUCAAGGGGGGGAUCAAAUAUCUCUUGGUGGAAGUGUAGAUCAGGUCCUUCUCAACCAAUCCCUAGAAAAUCAACCAGUUUGAUUGGCUAGGGAGAGAGAUCGGGCGGAAAUGAGCUUUGGAGCAACAAUGGAACUUGGGGAGGUAAGAGGUAGUAUUCUCGAAGAAGACCCCUUUAUAUAGUGGGGGAAAGAAUCCAACGGUUACCCCCACUCACAGCCUCAGCAAAGCGAUACUACCGCUGCUAGGAGCGGUACUACCGCACGGUAGAUCCACCAACCACGGAAGUAAAAAAAAUUACUUCCAUGUCUACCACCGCUGAGGCUGCAGUUGUGCAAAAGUCCGAGAGAGCGUUAGUAAAAAACUAAUACCGCCCAGAGAGCGGUUCUACCGCUGGCACCUGCGGUACUACCGCUCGCACUUAGCACAGACAGGGAAAACAAGCUGGAGCUCCAUUGAAGCGAGGGGAAGAUGGUGGAAUAGAACAGAUGUGUACGUGUUGAUUCCACCCUAACCUUUUCGAACCGAACCCAUCUUAAUAGUACGGCUUUCCUACGACUCAAAACCACCAAAGAGAAACAUAGAAAGCAACCGUCUUUGAUAGACACCGAGGGGCACCAAAUCGUCUUGUGCCUAGACAUGAAUUAUCUGAAAUGCUCAAUGCACAUGAUUAGUCCCCACGGGCAUUGUCAUCAAUCACCAAAACCACUUAGGGAGAAAUAUGCCAUAACAAACCCCCAUCCCACCGUUGCCACAUCAUCUCGUUCCUCCCCACAACAACUCUCUCUCUCACCUCACAUGCGCAUAGACGAGCGAGCAAGAGAUUCCUUGCAAUCGUGCUCUCUGUCUCCCUCGCCAACGUGCCAGGCGGGUUGGUCGUGUCGGGCGGGGCCAGCACGCAUGUUUGUCCAGGCCAGCAUGCGCACGGCCCUAGCGGGUCACAUGUUGGCCCAUUACGGACCCGGCACAUGAGCUUGCACACCAGGACCGGCCCAUUUGGCGAGGUUUGGGUGACGCGCGCUUUUACUCAAUAAUGAGUUAAGAUCUUUUUUCUGAGCUAUUAUAGUUAGAGCCUUAGAGGUGCCCCAAAAUCGAAGAACUAAACUGAACUGGGUUGACAUAUAUUCCUAGUUUAUUCGGUUUAUGGUGUUUGGUUUGUUGUUUCCAUCGGUAACUAUCUGUGUUCGGAUGUAUCACGGUCUUUAUACAUAAAGCGAAUUGGCCAUCAGAUCAUAUACACAAAAAUGGACCUCCAUUUUCUCUAGCUUCACUAUUUUGCUGGCACAUAUAGACAUAGCCCUAGGCCUAUGUACGAUGCAAGCGACCGCCGAAAACCCACACGACAAAGGCCGCAAGAUGCCACAUGAAGAUUGAAGCCAAGCAAUCAACCAUCCACGCCGACAACAUUGCAGCUCCGACUCUGGGCGAGCUAACAACUACGCAAGGAGACCGUCUGCUUUACUAUGAUCCAUGUGGUGGACGAGCUAUGCAAACCAGGGCUUAGAAAAUUGAUGCAAAUAUAACCAGUCUAUCUAUAAGCAAAACAUUUCAGUUAUUUUUAACAGCACCACAGUUAACGGCUAAAAAAAACAGCACCACGCAGCAGCUGAACUAUAUGGUUCAGGCAGAAGAAGGAUGAAUGGACCUGCGGUAUACAUCUGUAUGAUUUACGAAAACCGGGCAAAUGCGCCCAGUCUUUACACACACAAUCAAGAUACAACAGUCAUGGUUGCAAUUUCGACACACCACAUCUAAGGUAACGACAGUUCACGAUUGGGUUUGCACCACGAAUCACGGACCCAAGAACAUGGCUUCAUCGUCGGUUAUUCGGGGCCCCGAGGGAUAUAACUUCUUUUUCUUUUCACUGCUGCGGCAGUCUGUAAGUGACAUCAGUUGGGCAACUCCAGGUUUCUUAUCUGGUGUGUCCGCCUUCCGCUAGUUUGGACGGUUCAGAGCCAUGAACUUGCACUGCUCGCUCAUCGCCUGGAGCUGUGCGUCCUUCUUGUCGACCAUGGCACGUAGCCUCACAUUUUCCUCCAUGACCUUCUGGACUUCUGCUUCUUUCUGUGCUUUCUCAGUCUCGAGCUGGUUGGUCCUUGCGACUAGCCUGUUCACAAACAUAAAAGGCUCAGUAGCGUGUUGUUUAUAGAUAACUGACCUGGAUACUUGCUUAACAAUACGUGCUAGACUGGCCUGAUUCUUAAUCCUACAUUAUUUGCAGUACAAGGAACCCGACAACAGUGCGAGUGCAUUAUCUCGGUUAUACCUGCAAAUUUGAUCAUUCACAUGCAACAGCCAGGGACCCAUUCUGUGGAAGAUGGGAAGGAUAAGAGUUUUCCUUUUCUGAAGCAAAGGGCAGGGGAACUACCUAUUAUUUAAGUAGCGAGUUGUUAAUAUUUACAGAGCGGCCCUGCAUUGAAGGGAACAAAGCCUAGAAUCUAACAAGCAAAAGCAACUACUCGCCCUCACAGCACAGCUUGGCUGCAUAGCAGAAGACCUAAGGUUGAACUCUUGCCAAGCUAAAUGACCAACCUGUUCACCAGGAGACCUCAGUGUAAAAUUCUAUAACUAUGAUAUGCUGGCUAGUAUCAACCAGAAAGCAGAAGAAGAAAGUAGGAAGAAGAUAACGGACAAUGCAUAUUAUUUAGCCUUUCUGCCAAAAACAACCAUGGCCAUUCCCUUGAGUAGAUGUUCCAGUUCGAAUGUCAUGCAAGCGGUAGAAAGAUUAAUGAUGCAAAAAUGUCAAUCUUGAGUUGAAAGAGAAGUCGGAAAGUAGCAAGAACUGGAAUGUUGGACCAAUGCGGACUAGCAGAAAACCAGAUUUCUAGGCUUAACCAAGUCAAUCUGCAUCUUCUUGAACACUAAAUAUCAAUAAACAUUUGGGACACGAUCGAGGCACAAAACUGCUGCAUUCAAGAGAGCAGUACACUGAACCAACUUAAAAACAUUUUAUAUGGCAAUAAUCUCUAUCAGAUGUCAGGGGGUGAUACAAGAGUAGUAACUGUGUUAACCAAUGGUUGCAUGAUGUAUAGUUAACAUAAUUCUAAGAAGAUAUCGGCAGACCUCUCAGUCUCUCCAAAUCCCCUCACAUACGAAGUGGAUGAUCAAAUUGACGACAAUAUGUGAUAGGGAGAAGUCUAGGCAUCGCAUUUAAGUGCUAAUUUGUAACAAAACAGAUGUGUUGUGUGCUCUAAAGUCCAAAGGAAAGGUAGAGCCCAUUUAGUUACAAAAAUGGAGUUGCUAACAGAAGAUCAAACAUAUAGUACUAAAAGAGCAUUAGCAUCACAUACCUGCACAAAGACUAUUUUUGUUUUGCAUCUCGUAGAUACUAAUGUUGACCAUGUUACAGACUAGUUCAAUGCAUAGCUGAUUGAAUAUAUUAUUAAGAUGGUAAUCAUGGUAACUGCAAGUCUACCAUGGCCUCACAGUCAACAAUGCAUCAAACAGGGGCAGAGCCAGCUCCGGGCUCGCUGGUCACAGGACAGCGUACAUAUGUGACAAAUAAUGGGGCAAAUUUUACUAUGCAUCGUGUUUUAUGCGGGCAGCAGUCAAUGGUACGUGAUAAACAAUGGGCUCCUACCAAGCAUCCGGCUAAUAUUUGGGUAACGGAUUUAUUAAGUAGGCCUACCAAGCGCAGUCCCCUGACCAAGGGUAAUGUUCAGCAGUCAUGGGCUGCUAACUUCCCUUCUUCCAAAACAAUUACUCGAGAGGAACACAAGCAGUCACAGCCCUGUUCGACACGACAGCACUUCAGCUGUUCUUUUCUCACAUGUCAUGGAGAUGGACUGGUGGCACCACAGGCAGACGGCGGAGUAGAUCCAUCUCUAGGAACGGCUUACAUCCUUGACUAAUUUUUGUAUGUCCCCUUCUUCAUGAUUAGGUAAGAUUGCUAACUGAUUUGGAGAUUGAUAGAUUUAGGGCUUAAAUUUUUAGGUCAGACGGUCGGCAUUUCCCUUUGUGAUUUUCUUUAGCAUACUAGUGGUAUGUUCUAUCUGUCUGUCUCUAUUCCUGCAAGCCUUCUAUUUGAAUAUGUUCACAAAUCACAACACUUAAUUUAUAUGAAUUAGAAAUCCAAUUUUAUUAUCUUGUAGUGUCUUCUAGGAUGUUUGGAUGCUAAUUUGGAUAGCUAUACUUUUACUAAUUACUGGCAACAUGGCGAGUUUGGUUCUAUGCAUGUCUGGUUCUAUGACUUAUGUUGUCAAGUUUCGACUUUAUUUUGAUUGAUAAAACUGAAUAUUGAUAUAUCUUAUGUUAGUUCACUUCAAAAUAAUAAUUGCACGACUACUAUGUUUGUACUUACACUACAUUAUUAAUGCAGAUUUGUGGUUCCAAAAUUUGGGGCUAUUUUAGAGGUUGUAUAUCCGGACACACAAUUUUAAUUUCCAGAUAAGACACUUAGGCUCAAGCUUGCCCAGGCUUCACAAAAGUUCUGGCUCCGCCACUGGCUCAAAGAAAAAUUAUGCAACGGUAGAAGCAUAUCAAAGAAAUCAUUAAAUACUCUAUUUGUAGGAGGGGGGUAAAAAUAAUGGGAGGUGCUGGGUUCCUUCCCAGACUCCACACUUUUGUUUCGAGAUCUUAUGAGUUUCAACUCUAGCCUACCCCAACUUGUUUGGGACUGGAAGGCUUUGUUGUUGUUGUUGUUGGUGGUGGUGGUGGUGGUGGUAGAAGCAUAUUAAUAUAUGGACAUGCCAGAAUUUAUGAAAUGGGUGAUUCAUGCUGCUGCUUUGUUAAAAAUUGGGAGGUUAAAUUAACUAUUUCUACUCUUUCUUACUCCGUCAUUUUUUAGAAGUUUUCUUUACCAAGCUAUGCAAGUUUUCCCAGGGAAACUAACACAUGGUGAUACAUUCAGACAGAAUAUAAUCACAAGAAACAACACAAGAACUGCGAAAGUACCUGUCAAAAAGCUUCUCCAUUGUCUCGAAUUGCUUCUCCGAUGAAAGAAGGGUUUCUCUGACACUAACGAGUGUGCUGACAUAAGUUCUGAGCGACUCAAAGUCAUUCUUCACACGGCUGAGCUCCUGCUCAUUUUCAGCAGCGCGCUGCCUCUGCCGAGUGGUCUCUAGGACCAUAUCUUCAACCCGCUGCCUCAUCUCAUUCAGCAUGCCGUUCGUACCCACUGCAAAUUUCUCCAUCUCCUCGACUUUGACCGACAUGGACUCGACCUGUAUGGUCUUCCUCCUGAUCUCUUCCAACCCAAUCCUGACCUUUUCUUUCUCAUUAGCAGUUUCAGACUCGGCCACAAUCACUCUCUUGACAAGAGACUCCAUGACAUCGGUCACCACGCGGAUGGACUUGAGGAUGUCAUCGACAUCUCCAUCCCCUUCAACGGCAUCGCCAUUUUUCAGAACGCCGCUACCCUCUGUCGCCGCCCUGUCAUCCGAACCUCCCCCACAGGAAGCGGGCUCGGCGGCCUUGGACCAAUCGGCCAGGGGCACCCCGUGCCGGUCGACGAACCCCACGCCAUCCUGGUUCCUGAUCCCGCAGGACGUGUGCGCGAGGUGCGGAAUCGACAUGAUCCUGGCCUUGGAUUUGAGGUACGCCAGCAGGGUGGCGAUGGUCUUGACCCUGCGGCACAGGUGCUCGAGCUCCCGGCCGGAAUCGUCCUCGGAGCGCCGCAUCCCGACCUUGACCUCCACNNNNNNNNNNNNNNNNNNNNNNNNNNNNNNNNNNNNNNNNNNNNNNNNNNNNNNNNNNNNNNNNNNNNNNNNNNNNNNNNNNNNNNNNNNNNNNNNNNNNNNNNNGCCUCCACCUGGGACUGCUGCUGCCUCAGCUCCUCCCUCCAUUCGCACUCCCCGACCGGCGGCAGGCCGCUCCGGCUAGGGCCGUCCUCCUCCAUGGGACCUCUGAAAUUCGGGGGAGCAGAUUGCGCUGGUCACUCGGAGAAAACAUUCUGGUUUCGGAUGCAGAUGGAUCUGCCGCCGAAUUUGACCGCGCGAAACAGCAAUCGCGCGAGACCGCGCGAAACAGCAAUCGCGCGGAUUCGCGCGGGGAGUGGUGGGUGGAUCGGGAGUUGGGGGCGUACCUUUGGAGCGCCGGCGAGGGGGAGGAGGAGGAGCGGGCCGGCGGCGAACCGGAUGGCCUCCGUCGGGCUGGAGUUUUCUGCUCCCCGUCUUCGCCUUUGCUUUCUCUUGUCUACUUCCCUCGCCUUUCCCCUUCCCUUCCCCGACCAAUCAAUUGAUUGCUUUUCGCUUUGAGCGAAAUUUCCAUUUUUAUUUUGAUUAGAGAAAUUCCGCUGCUCUGUUUGAUGAUCCUUGUGGGCCUGGUGUACGGCCCGGUUGUUUCUUUAGGCAUACGGGCCGGGUUGGUGGACCACCGUGACAUUUUUUUAAUUGUGGGCCUAAUCUGUAGACAUUCGUACUUCUGCAUGCCCAUCACUCGGGCAUACGUUUUUUGUGCUCCAGAAGUGAAUCAUCUACUCUCUUCAUUUCAAAAUAAGUGUCUCAAGUAUAGUACAAAUUUAUACUAAAGCUAGUAUAAAUUUGAGAUAGUUAUUUUAAAGUAGAGGAAUUAUUGUUUGCCGAGCACGUGUUCCCGGAAGCCGAAUUGCAUUUGCGGAUGAUAAUCUCCUUUUCUUACCAAGAGGAAGGGCUUAUAUGGAGAAUUGGUAAUGGUAAUUUUGUCAGGAUAUGGGAAGAUCCGUGGCCGCCAAGAGGUGUGACUAGACUCCCAUCUUCUCAUCAAGGACAAGGUCUUCUUGCCAUGGUGUCACAACUAAUUGAUCCAGUCACUGGUUAAUGGAAUAGAGCGCUCGUGGAGAACUGCUUCCAUCCUGAUGAUGUUGUUGCGGUCAUAAGCAUUCCGAUUUGUGAGCAAACAAGGGACUUCCUUGUUUGGCACUUUGACAAUAAGGUUUUUUUUUCUUCGUAAAAUCGGGUUACAAAGUUCAUGUAAAUAUGCUACGUCGGGAAGCCACGAUAAAGAUAGAUCAAAAUUCUGUAGCUGAGAUGCAAGAUGCCACACUUUUCGAUUCACUUUGGAAGAUCAAGUGUCCUCCGAGAGUGCACCACUUUCAUUGGAGAUUGGCACAUAAUAGUCACCCCAUGUAUAUGAACAUUAGUCACCGAGGAGUGGAGCUUGAUAACAGAUGCGCCCCAUGUGAACGUCUCUUUGAAGAUGGUGCUCAUCUGUUCAUCCUGUGCAAAAUGGUUAAACAACGGUGGCGUGCCUUGCAUGUUGAGGAUGUCUGAAACAGUCUCUUACAACUUGGAUCAGCGAAGGAAGUUAUUCAUGUUUUUUUUCGGCUGCGGGGUGAUUAACCCACAAGUAUAGGGGAUCGCAACAGUUUUUGAUGGUAGAGUAUUCAACCCAAAUUUGUUGAUUCGACACAAGGGGAAGCCAAAGAAUAUUCUCGAGUAUUAGCAGUUGAGUUNNNNNNNNNNCCAAAAAAAUCAUCGUAAAGUUUUAUUCAUUUGGACUCCGUUUGAAAAUGGGCCAAAAACACGAAAAAAACAGAAACUGGCACUUGGCACUGAGUUAAUAGGUUAGUCCCAAAAAAUAUAUAAAAUAGCAUAUUCAUGCAUAUAAAACAUCCAAAGUUGACAAGAUAAUAGCAUGGAACCAACAAAAAUUAUAGAUAUAUUGGAGACGUAUCAACAACCCCUUUGUAGCGUUGGGUGCAAGCUCUUUUGUGUUUGCGUAGGUACUUUGGACUUGACGAGAUUCUCCUACUGGAUUGAUACCUUGGUUCUCAAACUAAGGGAAAUACUUACUGCUCUUGUGCUACAUCACCCUUUCCUCUUCAAGGGAAAAACCAACGCAAGCAAGUCUCCAUCAACGUGUCAAUUUCUCGCGCUGUUGUUUGAGAAGUAGCAGGUGCCUCGGUGCUAACUCCUUGAGAAUCUUGUUCAAUUCUCUUAGGAUGACCCUCAGGAUACAAAGGUUCCUGGGUCAUUCUACCGCCUCUAGUGACGACUCUGACAGAAUUGUCAUUCAACUCAUUGAGCAAGUCAUUUUGAGCCUUAAGUACUUGUUCUACUUGAGUCGUAACCAUAGAGACAUGUUUACUCAAUAGCUUAAGAUCAUUAACGUUUCUGUCCACACAAGCACUUAAAUGACUAAGCAUACGAGCAUUCUGUUCCAAUUUUCUGCUAACAUAAUCAUUGAAACUUUGUUGUUUGGCAAUGAAGUUAUCAAAUUCAUCCAGGCAUAAGCUAGCAGGUUUAUCAAAAGGAAUGUCACUCUCAUUGAAUCUAUGAAGAGAAUUUACCUCUACUACCUGUAUCGGAUUAUCAAGACCAUGGAUCUCUUCGUUAGGUGGUAAAUUUUUGAAAUCUUCAGAUUUAAUGCCUUUCUCUUUCAUAGAUUUCUUAGCUUCUUGCAUAUCUUCAGGACUGAGGAAUAGGAUACCUCUUUUCUUAGGAGUUAGCUUCGGAGGUGGUUCGGGAAUAGUCCAAGCAUUCUCAUUGCACAAGAUAUUGUUCAAUAGAAUCUUAGCUUGUUCCAUAGUUCGUUCCCUAAGAACACAACCAGCACAACUAUCUAGGUGGUCCUUAGAAGCAUCGGUUAGUCCAUUAUAGAAGAUAUCAAGUAUUUCAUUCUUUUCAAGAGGGUGAUCAGGCAAAGCAUUCAGCAGCUGGACGAGUCUCCCCCAAGCUUGUGGGAGACUCUCUCCUUCAACUUCCGCAAAGUUAUAUAUUUCCUGCAAGGCACCUUGUUUCUUAUGGGCAGGCAAAUAAUUUUUAGAGAAGUAGUAGAUCAUAUCCUGGGGACUACGCACACAACCAGGAGCAAGAGAGGUGAACCAAGUUUUAGCAUCAUCCUUUAGCGAGAAAGGAAAUAACUUAAGGAUAUAGUAGUGGCGGAUCUUUUCCUCACUCGUGAAUAGGGUGGCUAUAUCGUGCAGCUUAGUAAGAUGUGCUACAACCGUUUCAGACUCAUAACCGUGAAAAGGAUCAGAUUCGACCAGAGUGAUUAAUUCAGGGUCGACAGAGAAUUCAUAAUCCUUAUCAGUCACAAAGAUAGGCGAAGUAGCAAACUUCGGGUCAUAUUUCAUCCUAGCGUUCAGAGAUUUUUCUUUCCACUUGCGCAGUAAAUUAUCAACAACAUAGCUAUCCUUACAAGCAAGAAAGUCCUGAGCUAUCUCUCCCUCCAUAACAUAACCCUCAAGCAUAUCAGGCAAUUCAUAUCUAGGAGAACUAGUUCUAACAGGCGAAAUAGCAGGUUCUACUUCAAUAAUCUUAGCAGUUUUAGAAGUAUCAUCACAUCUAGCAGCAACUCUAGCAAUUUGUGCAUCAAGGAAUGCACCUAGUGGCAAAACAGUAUCAAACAAAGCAUCAUCACAAGCAUCAUGGAUAGCAGAAGUAGCAUAAUCAAGCACAUGCGACAUAUCAAAAUUUCUAGCAGGAGGUGGUGUCGCAAACUUACUCAUAAGUGAAGGUGAAUCAAGUGCAGAGCUAGAUGGCAGUUCCUUACCUGUCCUCGUAGUUGAGGGCAAGACUUUAGUUUUUGGAUCUCUCGAAUUCCUCAUAGUGAUCAGCAGACGUAAAUUCCAAGUGACUCAGAGAAUAGAGCUAUGCCUCCCCGGCAACGACGCCAGAAAAUAGUGUUGAUAACCCACAAGUAUAGGGGAUCGCAACAGUUUUCGAGGGUAGAGUAUUCAACCCAAAUUUGUUGAUUUGACACAAGGGGAAGCCAAAGAAUAUUCUCGAGUAUUAGCAGUUGAGUUGUCAAUUCAACCACACCUGAAAGACUUAGUAUCUGCAGCAAAGUAUCAGUAGCAAAGUGGUGAUAGCAACAGUAGCAACGGUAACAAUAGCAGUAGUGACAGCAGUAGCAGCAGAGUAACAAUAGCAGCAGCGACAGCAAUAGUGACAGGGUAACAGUAGCAGCAGUGACAGCAGUAGCGAUAGAGUAACGUAGCAAGGACCAGUAGGAAAAACUCGUAGGCAUUGGAUCGGNNNNNNNNNNAUGAUAGCAACAGUAGCAACGGUAACAGUAGCAGUAGUGACAGCAGUAGCAGCAGAGUAAACGUAGCAGUAGCGACAACAAUAGUGACAGAGUAACAGUAGCAGAAGUGACAGCAGUAGCGAUGGAGUAACGUAGCAAGGACCAGUAGGAAAAACUCGUAAGCAUUGGAUCGGUGAUGGAUAAUUAUGCUGGAUGAUAGUCAUCAUGCAACAGUUAUAACACGGAGAGAUAAGUAACUAGCUCCAGUNNNNNNNNNNUGAUGGAUAAUUAUGCCGGAUGAUAUUCAUCAUGCAACAGUUAUAACACGGAGAGAUAAGUAACUAGCUCCAGUUCGUCAAUGUAAUGUAGGCAUGUAUUCUGUAUGUAGUCAUACGUGCUUAGGGAAAAGAACUUGCAUGACAUUAUUGUCCAUCCCUCCCGUGGCAGCGGGGUCCUAAUGGAAACUAUGGGAUAUUAAGGUUCUCCUUUUAAUAGAGAACCGGAACAAAGCAUUAGCACUUAGUGAAUACAUGAACUCCUCAUACUAUGGUCAUCUCCAAGAAUGGUUCCGGCUAUUGUCACUCCGGGGUUGCCGGGUCAUAACACAUAGUAGGUGACUACAACUUGCAAGAUAGGAUCAAGAACACACAUAUGUUGAUGAAAACAUAAUAGGUUCAUAUCUGAAAUCAUGGCACUCGGGCCCUAGUGACAAGCAUUAAGCAUGGCAAAGUAGUAGCAACAUCAACCUCAGAACAUAGUGGAUACUAGGGAUCAAUCGCCGUCAAAACUAACUCGAUUAGAUGAUAGAUCUCAUCCAACCCAUCACCGUACAACAAGCCUACGAUGAGAUUACUCAAGAACGGUGAAGAGCAUCAUGGAAUUGGCGAUGAAGGAAGGUUGGUGAUGACGAUGGCGACGAUCUCCCCUCUCCGGAGCCCAGAACGGACUCCGGAUCUGCCCUCCAGAGAAAGAACAGGUGGUGGCGGCGCCUCCGUAUCGUAAAACACGAUGAACUCUUCUCCUUGAUUUUUUUCGGACGAAAGGGACUAAAUAGAGCUGGAGCUGGAGGCGGCGGAGCUCCGAGGGCCCCACAAGCCUGCUAGGCGCGGCAAGGGGGCCUGGUGGGCUUGUGGGAUCCUCGCUCCUCUCCUCCGGUUGAUUCUUGCGCCAGUAUUUUUAUAUAUUCCACAAAAAAUCCUCGUAAAUUUCCAAGUCAUUCCGAGAACUUUUAUUUCUGCGCAAAAACAACACCAUGGCAAUNNNNNNNNNNCGGGGGGCACGCGCCUCGUGGGCUUGUGGGCUCCUCGCUCCUCUCCUCCGGUUGAUUCUUGCGCCAGUAUUUUUUAUAUAUUCCACAAAAAAUCCUUGUAAAUUUCCAGGUCAUUCCGAGAACUUUUAUUUCUGCGCAAAAACAACACCAUGGCAAUUCUGGUGAAAACAACGUUAGUGCGGGUUAGUUCCAUUCAAAUCAUGCAAAUUAGAGUCCAAAACAAAGGCAAAAGAGUUUGGAAAAGUAGAUACGGCGGAGAAGUAUCACGGUGGGGGGGGCAAGAAACUUUUAACAAUAGGGCUGUUGUGGUUAUGGUGGUCUGAAAUGAACAAAGUAAAUCAUAGAGAGUGAUAUGUAUUCAACGUAUCUAUCAUUUGUUAUUGUUCCACGCUGUUAUAUUCAUCACUUCAUAUUAUUUUUUAGCAAUAACCUAUUAACCCAGUGCCCAGUGUGAGUUGUUGUUUUCUGCGUGCUUUUUGUUUUCAAAUUUUCGGUACCAAACAAAGUCCAAUUGUCACAAAACUUUUUAUAAUUUUUUCUGGAUCAAAACAAGACAUGAAAGCUUUGGAAGGAAACCUCAAGCCACACGAGGGGCUCCCAAGGAAACAGGGCGCGGUCACGAGGGUGGACGCGCCCUAAUGCCUUGGCACGCCCCUGUGGCCCCUACUUGCCUUGUUCUCUGGCCUAUGAAUUCCUAAAUAAUCCAACAACCAUAAAAGAUCAUACGCAAACACUUUUUACACCGCCACAAGUCUUUGUUCCACGAUGACUCCAUCUGUGAGCUCUUAUUCGGCACCCUGCUGGAGGGGGUCGAUCACAAAGGGCAUGUGUAACGACUAAGAUGCGGUCCUUUCCGAUCUGGGGAUCGAGGCCCCGAAUUGGAAAGGAGCGCAUCUAAGCGUCUCGCAAACAAGGUAUCACAACACAUACAUAAUAAUAACAGAUAGACAAUCAGGGGUUCAAUUGUCUUCUCAUAAAUAUAUCAGAGUACAUCACGCAUACAAUCAAAGUAGUUCCGCUACGGACUACAAAACAAGGGAAAUGGCUAUGCUACCCUGCCUGCUGGCCCACGAUCACGACCACGCCUCAAUCUUCUGGAUAGUUCACGUACAGGCGGUCGGUCUCCUCGUCAUACUGCCAUGCCAGCUGCGUGCCGUCGGGAUCACCUAUCUCUGGGGUACCUGAACCUAUUGGUGUUGUGAAGGAAUCUAUGAGCCAUGGGGACUCAGCAAUCUAAGACCUCGGUGCCAGAACUAGUCAAGUUAUUAGGCUGGAUAGGUUAGAGUGUUUAAGGUUGCAGCAUCCUAAGCUUGAUAUGGUGGCUAACUUACGUAGAACAUUUAUGAAGGUGGCCUAGACUAGCGGACGAUGAUAAUUGAUCACUAGGUGAUCCUGAACACCUACCUACGUCAUUCAUAACCCCACCGUGUUCCCGAUCGAAGAGAGAUCUUCGAGGGGACAGUCACGGUUACGCACUCAGUUGGCAAUAUUAUUAGCUUAUGUUUAAGUUAUCUAAUACCGGAUGUUAACAAAAUAUUCCAAGUUGCCACAUAACCGUGGGCACGGCUUUCCGAAAGAUUUAACCCUGCAGGGGUGCUCCAACUAGUCCAUCACAAACGUACACGGGCCACAAAGUAAUCCUCUAUCACGAAUCUCGUGAUCUCGUCGGAUUCCUUAGAGGGAAACCUCAACUCUGGGGAGAACCAAAGCUUCACCGGGAUUCCUAUACGCAAGAUAUAUCGCUAAGGUAAGACAAGACUAGCAGGACCUCCCGACGUGUCGACGACCCUGAUAAGAGCCGCGUAUCUCAGUCUCAGGACACGCCGGAUAAGUGAAGCGUACAGUGGCCGGAGAAAUCUCCCGAGUUGCCCCGGGAUGGCCCCGCACGGUGCUCUAGUUUGGACCAACACUCAUGAGGAGCACUGGCCCGGGUUGUUGAUUAGAUUCCUCAGGUAGGCCAUUCCCUACGCAGAUUAUUAUUAAGUGAUUAGCAAAUUAACACCAAUGUUGGGUCCUGCCGGACAAGUCUUAGCACUACGUGAUUUAUCGAGGGGGUCCCCAUAACAACCCCGAACGUGUUAGGAGCGAUCAAUAUGGAAUCAAACACCGGUAGCCGGUAACUAUGGCGGCAAUAACGGAACAAAGCACNNNNNNNNNNNNNNNNNNNNNNNNNNNNNNNNNNNNNNNNNNNNNNNNNNNNNNNNNNNNNNNNNNNNNNNNNNNNNNNNNNNNNNNNNNNNNNNNNNNNNNNNNNNNNNGCUAUGCCUUCCGUUAUUUACCAAGUAUAUAGGUGCAUUAGUUAAAUAACAGAAUAUAAGAUAAUGAUAUCAAUCUCAUGUUAUCACAUGAGGCAAAGCACCUGCAACUAGCAACGAUAACAUUAGUAGCUGAGCAAAGCCUACUUAGCCAUUCAAGUUUGCUAGGAAGGGGUAAGUGUUUGGUUUCGUGGCAUAUCAAGAGGCAAAUAUUUCAGUGGUAGGCAGCGAGCAUAUGACAACGGAAAUGUAAUCUAGCAUAACAAGUCUAGAGAUGGAAUCAAGGUCAUAUCAUCUUGCCUGUGAUAUCCUCAGCUUGGAAUGGUUCUUGUUCGUCCUGCAUGUACUCUCCUGAAUCCACGUAUUCGUUCUCCGAUCCCGGUGAUACCCAACAUAAGAAUAACAUCCAAUGAACAACAUCACCUCAAGAUGCAACAAACACAUGAUGCAUGAGAUGAAUAUGAGCAUGCAUCACUAUCUCUAUCACUAACACAAGCAUAAGGAGUGAAUACAUGUUCCUGGACAUAACUGUAUCCUAAGCUAUUUUGACAUGUAUGAGAAUGACAUGAUCAGAUGCGUCUCGUGAAAACGAUGCAAAACCAUAUAAAGAACAUUACAAUCGGAGCUACGGAUCAACGGGAAACAAUGAAACAAGAUAUGAAGCCCCACGUGACAAAAUCAUCACCACAUACUCAAAUGGCACAACUCUGGUAUUUCCAGGUUUCCAAGACAUAAAAAAAACCAUCAUGGAUGGGGUGGAGCAAGGAAUAACACCAUAUCCUCAAGUAAGCACUCACAAACAUCAAAAUGACAAAACUACACAAUCUGCCAUAAACUGCAUCAUAGCACUUUGUGAGCUACAUGCAAAGCACCUACAGCCACCCAAAUAUGACAAAUAAUAUAUGUGGCUGUAUCUAUCCAAGAUUACUAGAAGCACAAGCAAGAAUCACACAAAAAGGAAUUAAACACAGAAAGUUACAAGGCUGCAAACUUGCCCAAAAAUAUCAGUUUUCACGGACUUUGUGAAAAUUCCAGAUUCUCACUUUCUGUCUAUGCUCUGAAGCAUUUUGACAGCAGCCAAAACAAUAUCUACAGGACUCCAAAUGACAUGAAAUUUUACAGGGAGCUAGACAAACAUAUCAAGUCCAACUUUCCAGUUGAAAGCUAAGGCUAGAGCACAACACAUUGACCUGCACAACCUCAUCAACAAGAGAAGAAAAUAUAUACAGAUUCUCAGACUUAGUGAAAAUCUCAGAUUCCCACUAAUCUGGAAUUUACAGCCACAUGCCCACUUUGUCUAGGCACAACUUGCACACAAGAAACACUAAUAGAGAUUUGACACCAACAUGUUGUAGAGGAGAUCACCUACUACUACCACACAAGAAACCAUGCCCUUGGGCUCAACCUAUUCCAUGGAAACAAAGAGCAGACUUGGAACAAAUCUGAAUAUGUCAACUCUAGAAAGUGUCCCAAUGGCAAGACUAACCUCAUCACUGGAUUUCUUGGGAGAUUCUACCCCAAAAUCAUAUAUAAUAUGUGGGCACUUACUUGGAACAAGUGACCACAAAUUAAGAAGGAAGAAGCUACUCCAAAUCAUGUAUAGUGAAUAGUGCAACAUUUCGUGUGACUAUCACUAGAACAACUACUACAUAGUUAUUCUCAUGUGCACACAGACAAUAGUUACAUGAGGGUUCGAACCCCAUGUUUGUGUCAUGCACAACAACAUCACAAGCACUAGUUUCACUAGAUCACCCACACACGCACACAUCAUGCCCUCUCUCAUAUGAACACGAGGAGGUGCACAAGUGUUGCAAAUGGGGCUGUUUUCACCACACACGUAUCAUCACAACAACCUCAUCACAAGCACUUAAUCCCAAGAACAACAUGAAGGAAAAACUACUAUGCAAGUAAACAUGGAGCAUCACAUACAUACACUCCUACUAGGUACCACAUAUGUGUGCACCACUUACACACACAUCACCUCAACACACACACAUCUCACCUACUCCACAAUGCACAUACUUUGCAAGAACUACACACCCACACACACUAGCAAGAUCACAUGAGCCACUUAUCACUUAAGCCACGUACACACAUACACACAUCACUUGCACUAUCACAAGUGUGUGCAAACACACACACACAACCAAAGAUCCUGCCUCUAUCUAUGCAUAGCACGAGAAGAAAUCAAAAUCGUCCACUUUAAUGCCUAUGGGUUAGGCACAAAUAUGGUAGGACAAGCAAAAGAAAUAGAAAUAAAAGUAAAUGAAAAAAAUACAACAGGGGCACCUAGGAUUCGAACCCAGAACCCGUUGUAUAGCACCAACAGAGUCAUGCCACUGGCAUCGUAUCAACACGCAAGAGGGAACAUACAGGAUAAGAUUUUCCUAUUGACUACUGUGCAGAAUAAACAAAAAACAAAAGAUGUGCCGAGGGGGAUCGAACCCACGCCCUCUCAUCAGGCAACAACACAUCGCUACCACUAGGCUACGGUUCGGAUCUUACCUACAUAGGGGAAGCAAAUAAGAAGUAGUACCCCUACUACUACCUGUGCUGCCGACGGCUGGCCGGAACAGGGGAGGUACCUCGUCGGCGUUCUGCUAGCAAUUGGACUAAGCGCGCUCUAUGGAAGGACGCUGGUGCAUCCACGGUUCCAUUCCUAUCCUAACCAAGGCCCGAGGGGCUCUACAGCUACGGAUCCACGAUGAGCGGCGCUCCGGCGACAGAGACGAUGAGCUCAGCAAUCAAGCAGCUACGGCGACCGAUCUAAGGGAGGGAGGAGGAAGGGAUAUCACUAUAUCAGGUACGGGUCAAGGAAGGAGCGCCCGUAGAGGAAGUAGUGGAAGCAGAACAGCGGAGCGGCGGAACUCGUCAAAGAAGAGGCGCCUCCUGGAAGAAGACGAAGCAGAGUCGGGGAAGGAGAUCCAGCGGCGGGAACGGACUCCUGGAGAUGCCCUCAAGCUGCUGGACCCUUCGAAGAGGAAGAAGACAAAGCAGGUCGACGGCGACGACGAGCUUCAUCCGUCGGCCAUGGCGGAGCUGAACGAUUCCUUACCUUGCAGCGAUGAGAGAGAGAGGGGGAUCGAGAUCUGGAUGGAGCGGCGGCGGAGGAACCCUAACGAAUGCACGGACGCCAAGGCUCCUUUAUAGGGUGAGGGAAGAAGCGAGGGACGCGCGACGGGCUCCAUGUGCACGUGCUCUCUCGGGUGGAACAGAGGGGAACGGAAUAGAGAGGCUGACGGGAGGGACCCACUGCCUCGCUGGAAAGAAGGAGGAAGAUGAUGGACGCGCGACGGGCUGCGAGGGAAAGAUGAGAUGGGCCGCUAAGUGGGAGGGAGCCCACUUAGUGCGCGAGAUAGAGAAAGAGAAGCACCCUGUCUAUUUUUAUUUAAAAUAAAACAGGGAAAAGAAAAAUAGGCACAGCGCAAAUUUUAAAAGAUAGAAUCAAAGCAAAAAUUUCCCUGGACCUGAAAAUGAACUACCUAAUUAAAUAAAAUACAACAAGCAUUUAUGGGGCUACUUUAAUAAAUCCAAAACAGCAUUUAAAUAACCUGUUUUGUGAUUUCUAUGCACCCUCAAAUCCAAAACCAAGACUCUAAACUAUUACAUCAUCAUCUCGACAAUAUACUCUAAACACAAGACAUUUUUAAAUCAGCUUUGGGGAAGAUGGAAUUUUGAACAUGAGAUUAAAAGGAAAGGAAAAGGGUUUGAAUUGCAAGGAGCUUUGAAAAUACAUAGCAACCACUACACUCCACACACCAUCAUCACAUGUGAUCACGAGGCCAACCCCACAUCAACUCAAUCACAAUGACAAGAGAAGCAAAAAAAAUAUAGCCACACAACCAAAGAAGGUCAAGUGCCACAUGAAAUCAUACAUGCAUUAAGAUCAAACAUGUUCAUGACAAGGUGGACCCACAUAAGAUAGGUUCCAAAUAUGGCAACUACACACUUGGGGCAUUACAAACUCUCCCACACUACAAAGAAGAUCUCGUCCUCGAGAUCUAAGACUGAAAGAAAUCUGGAAAUUCGGAAUGGAGGUGAUCCUCGCGUUCCCAGGUAGCCUCUUUAUCGGAAUGGUGUGACCACUGCACUUUGAGAAAUUUGACGGUCUUGUUGCGGGUCUUGCGCUCAGUCACCUCGAGAACCGCAACUGGAUGCUCACGAUAAGAAAGGUCGGGCUGAAGGUUGAUGUCUUGAAGAUGAACAGUGCGUUCGGGGGUCUUGAAGCACCUCCGAAGCUGAGAAACAUGGAACACAUCAUGGACAUUUGCAAAGGUUGACGGAAGCUCGAGCUGGUAUGCAAGGUCGCCUCUCUUGCCAACCACCCUGAACGGACCAAUGAAACGAGGCGCAAGCUUGCCUUUGAUGCAAAAGCGCUGCAUACCCUUCAUAGGCGACACCUUGAGAUAGACGAAGUCAUCAAGCUCAUAAGACAUGUCACGGUGCUUGCUAUCAUCAUAGCUCUUCUGACGGGACUGAGCUGCUUUGAGGUUGUCGCGAAUGACUCAACACAUCUCCUCAGCUUCUUCUAUCAAAUCAUUCCCAAGGAUCUGACGCUCGCCGGUCUCGGACCAGUUGAGCGGAGUACGGCACUUCCUGCCAUAGAGAAUUUCAAAUGGAGCCUUGCCAGAACUAGCUUGAUAACUGUUGUUAUAUGAGAACUCCGCGAAAGGCAGACAAUCUUCCCACUUCAUUCCAAAAGAGAUAACACAGGCUCUCAUCAUAUCCUCAAGAACUUGAUUCACUUUCUCCACUUGACCACUAGUCUGAGGAUGGAACGCUGUGCUGAAGCGGAUCUUCGUGCCCAUAGCAGACUGGAAGGAGUCCCAGAACUUGGAAGUUGAUACGUUUCAAACGUAUCUAUAAUUUUUUAUGGUUUCACGCUGUUAUCUUGUCUUCUUUGGUUGUUUUAUGUACCUUUUAUAUCUUUUUUUGGGAUUAACUUACUGAUUUAGUGCCAAGUGCCAGUUCCUAUUUUUUCCCGUGUUUUUGACUCUUUUCAGAUCUGAUUUUGGAACGGAGUCCAAACGGAAUAAAAACCCUGAAAUGAUUUUUUCCCGAACGGAAGAAGANNNNNNNNNNNNNNNNNNNNNNNNNNNNNNNNNNNNNNNNNNNNNNNNNNNNNNNNNNNNNNNNNNNNNNNNNNNNNNNNNNNNNNNNNNNNNNNNNNNNUUUCCUACAUAACUUAUUAUGGAAAAUAAACUGAGUGAAUAGCGAGUUUUCUUAUUCCUGCAGUACAGGUACAACCGCAACCGCUCGGGGGUUCCCUAGUUCUAUUGGAAAAAUUCCUUUUGAUCUAGGUGGAAGGAUACAGGAUUUUUUACUAGAAAUUGCGCUCGCUAUAAAAUAAAAGUUUUAAUUUAGGUUUUCCCGCAACUAAAGAAAAAGAGAAUGCAAGAAUUCUUCUUAUUGCAUAAUAAAAUAAAGAAACCUUAGAAUUCCGUUUGCAUAAGAUACGCUACACCAUUGAAAUCAAAAAUAGAGUAUGAGACAAUUAAUAACUUUGAAAACACGAAAUAGUUGAUGACAUAAGUUGUUGUUCAGAAAUAGGAAAGUGGAAUGAAAUCCAGUCUUAGUCAAAUAUUGCAUAUCUCUUCGUGUCCAAGCAGAAGGAAAAGGAUACAAUUUGAGCUGAGCGGAAAAUCCAUAUCUCUCUUAUCCAUUUAAAACAUAUGGAUUUAGAGCAUAUGGAUCAAUCUAUUUAUAAUUAUAAGAAUCGAAUGUGUUUGUUUUUAUGUUAUUUUGUGAAGGAAUGAAAACAAUUCUAUAUAGAAUGGCUUGGGAAUUAUGCCUAGAUCCCGUGUAAAUGGAAAUUUCAUUGAUAAGACCUUCUCAAUUAUAGCCAAUAUUUUAUUGCGAAUAAUUCCGACAACCUCAGGAGAAAAAAAGGCAUUUACUUAUUAUAGAGAUGGUGCGAUUUGACUCUUUUUUUUUUUGCUUUUUUUUAGACCUACCUAUACCUCAGUCUUAGGAAAAAGAAAAGGGGUUGGCAUAGAGAGAACCAAAUUUGUAAAGCAAGCAAACCCACGCUUCGGGAAGGUGAGGCGAACUAACAAUUCCUUCCGUCGUGUAUCCUCGAUUGAUGCGGCUUCAGAUACUUCAAUUGUAGAUUUGAGUAUUGAGCGAAAGGUUACACCUACAGGAUAUGGUAUGGUAUGGAUUACAGGCCACUCUAUUAGUAUCCGUAGGCAGCAUAGGGGAGAAAAGCACUACACCUAGAAAUAGGAAUCAACAAGAGAAAAACUUUGGUAGAAAUUACCCCUUUCCUGAUCGGUAUCAGGGCUGGGAAGAAUGGUUGGGAUAACAAACAACCAUCAGGUUUGUACUUUGGAUACCCCUAUAACCAUCAAAGAUCGUUGAAGUAGCUAAUUCCUCUAAAUAGGAGGCGUUGAGAACAAAGAAAUUAUUGGAGCUAUCGUUUUCCUCUAGCAUUAAUAGAAUUCAUUGGUGUUAAGAAAAACCUCUUGUGGGAAGGUUGGCUAGAGAUUUCUUGGAAAAAUACCAGCCCCUUUCGGUUCAUAAUGAGACGGGACUAAUUCUAUUUUGAUUCUAUAGAUUAAGAUUAUUUCGCUUAGUACUAUUAUGUACAGAAGGGAGGAGCCGUAUGAGAUGAAAACCUCAUGUACGGUUUUGGAACGGAGAUUUUUUGAAUAGAAUGAACGACCGUAACGGAUGUUGGCUCAAUCCGAAGGAAAUUAUGCGGAAGCUUUGCAAAAUUAUUAUGAAGCUACGCGACUAGAAAUCGAUCCCUAUGAUCGAAGUUAUAUACUCUAUAACAUAGGCCUUAUACACACAAGCAAUGGAGAGCAUACAAAGGCUUUGGAAUAUUAUUUCCGGGCACUAGAACGAAACCCCUUCUUACCGCAAGCUUUUAAUAAUAUGGCCGUGAUCUGUCAUUACGUGCGACUAUCUCCACUAUAGAAAGACAAAAAAAGAGAGGAUCAAAUUUUCUAGUAAAUACUGGAAAAAAGGGCUUUCUACAUAGGGAUCGUAAAAACAACGAUUUUUCCCUAUCAGCUGUAGGAAGGAAGGACACUUCACGAGAAUCAAAAAACGAAGAAAGUAUGGCCUAUACUACUACUCUAUGGAUAAAGUUUCUCAAAUUGAUAGAGAAAGCACCGUAAAGAUCAAUUAGUGAGCGACUGGGUCGAUACAACUAAAAAAAACUGCUUACUUAUCCCAUGAUAUGGGGCAAAAUUUAGGAAUCCGCUUAUGUAAUAGAGCCGAUCCACUAAGGGAUUAAGCAGCGGUGUAGUAUCAGAUCCCAAAGAUAGUAAGUUCUUUUUUCUUUCUUAUGGAAAAAAGUCUUUUUCAAGGAUUCUAUAGAGAUUUCAUAUAUGAAACCGGGAUAGUUACCUUUCAGAAAAUUUGAACGAAGGCUCUAUAUCUAUCUAUGCUUCAUUCUUCUGAAGGUGGGAAAAAAGAUCAAACUAAUUAUUGAGAAAAAUUAGGGUUUGAAACUUAGGUAAUUAAUUUCUUCUGCUUAACACAAGAACAAAUUGGAUCGAUUUUUGAUAAAUCGAAUUCAGUUAAGAUAGGGGAAAUUAAGAUAGCAAUUUCUGAGCCGUAUGAGGUAGGAAACUCUCAAGUACGGUUCUAAGGGAAGGAACUGCCUAUUCCGACCGAGGAGAACAGGCCAUUCUAGAGGGUGAUUCGGAAAUUGCGGAAGCUUGGUUUGAUCAAGCUGCUGAAUAUUGGAAACAAGCUAUAGCGCUUACUCCGGGAAAUUAUAUUGAAGCACAAAACUGGUUGAAGAUUACGAAGCGCUUUGAAUUUGAAUAAGACCAUGCUCCUUUUUUUUCCUAAAAUGGAUGGUUUGGUUGUUGAUCCAUUAAUCAAAUAAAUUAGGUCGUAAGAUCGAAUCAAGAAUUUCAUUAUAUCCAUUUCUUAUACCUUCUAUUUUAUAAGAUAUUUCAUAAGAAUAAACCAUAGGGAUAGGGUCUAGAAUAGAAGUAAUAAAGUGAAUAAAAAAAAGGGGGCCAAUCUAAAUAUUGCUAAUAUAUUAGAACCAUCUUAUUAAUAAUUCUAAUGAGUUAUCUUGGAAUUUAGAAUCAAAUAAAAAAUAAAAAACCCUAUAUUAUGCUCAAGGAAAGUAGAUAUAGAUAGGAGCUUAUGCCCUAAAAAAAAAUACACUAGUUUCUUAAAUUUAAAAUAAAAAAGAUUUUUUCUUACGCCGAGAAAUAUUUGUUUUUUCAAGAUAAACAAUGUCCGUUAGGCACCUAACCUUUAUGUCAUAAUAGAUCCGAACACUUGCCUCGGAUUGACUUUAAUAUAUAAUUGCUCCAGUGAAUAACUAAAAAAAAAGAAGGGUGGUAGUAUAGUAAAGAAAAGAACUAAUCACAAUAUCUAUCUUUCAAAAUCUAUCUUUCAAAAUCUAUCUUUCAAAGAUUCACUAAAAAAAAAGACAGUUGGCGGGUCUCUUUGUAUGUCUUGUCCGGAAAGAGGAGGAGUUAAUGAUUAUUCGUUCGCCGGAACCAGAAGUAAAAAUUGUUGUGGAUAGGGAUCCUGUAAAAACAUCUUUUGAGGAAUGGGCGAGACCCGGCCAUUUCUCAAGAACACUAGCUAAGGGCCCUGAUACUACCACUUGGAUCUGGAACCUACAUGCUGAUGCUCACGAUUUCGAUAGUCAUACUGGUGAUUUGGAGGAGAUUUCUAGAAAAGUUUUUAGUGCUCAUUUCGGGCAACUUUCCAUUAUCUUUCUUUGGUUGAGUGGCAUGUACUUUCAUGGUGCCCGUUUUUCCAAUUAUGAAGCAUGGCUAAGUGAUCCUACUCACAUUGGACCCAGUGCUCAGGUAGUUUGGCCUAUAGUAGGGCAAGAAAUAUUGAAUGGUGAUGUAGGUGGGGGUUUCCGAGGAAUCCAAAUAACCUCUGGUUUUUUUCAGCUUUGGCGAGCAUCUGGAAUAACUAGUGAAUUACAACUCUAUUGUACUGCAAUUGGUGCAUUGGUUUUUGCAGCGUUAAUGCUUUUUGCUGGUUGGUUCCAUUAUCACAAAGCCGCUCCCAAAUUGGCCUGGUUCCAAGAUGUAGAAUCCAUGUUGAAUCACCACUUAGCGGGAUUAUUAGGACUUGGGUCUCUUUCUUGGGCGGGACACCAAAUUCAUGUAUCUUUACCAAUUAACCAAUUUCUUGACGCUGGGGUGGAUCCUAAAGAGAUACCACUUCCUCAUGAAUUUAUCUUGAAUCGGGACCUUUUGGCUCAACUUUAUCCUAGUUUUGCCGAAGGAGCAACCCCUUUUUUCACUUUAAAUUGGUCCAAAUACGCAGAAUUUCUGACUUUUCGUGGAGGACUAGAUCCAGUAACCGGUGGUCUCUGGCUGACCGAUAUUGCACACCAUCAUUUAGCUAUUGCUAUUCUUUUCCUAAUCGCAGGUCAUAUGUAUAGGACCAACUGGGGUAUUGGCCAUGGACUUAAAGAUAUUUUGGAGGCUCACAAGGGCCCAUUUACAGGACAAGGCCAUAAGGGUCUUUAUGAAAUCUUAACAACGUCAUGGCAUGCUCAAUUAUCUCUUAACCUAGCUAUGCUAGGCUCUACAACCAUUGUUGUAGCUCAUCAUAUGUAUUCUAUGCCUCCCUAUCCAUACCUAGCUACUGACUAUGGUACACAACUUUCCUUGUUCACACACCACAUGUGGAUUGGCGGAUUUCUAAUAGUCGGUGCUGCUGCACAUGCAGCAAUUUUUAUGGUAAGAGACUAUGAUCCAACUACUCGAUACAACGAUCUAUUAGAUCGCGUCCUUAGACACCGCGAUGCAAUCAUAUCCCACCUUAACUGGGUAUGUAUAUUUCUAGGUUUUCACAGUUUUGGCUUGUACAUUCAUAAUGAUACCAUGAGUGCUUUAGGCCGUCCACAAGAUAUGUUUUCGGAUACCGCCAUACAAUUACAACCUAUCUUUGCUCAAUGGGUACAAAAUAUCCAUGCUACUGCGCCUGGCGUAACAGCUCCUGGUGCAACAACAAGUACUAGCUUAACGUGGGGAGGCGGCGAGUUAGUAGCAGUAGGUGGCAAAGUGGCUUUGUUACCGAUUCCAUUAGGAACCGCAGAUUUUUUAGUCCAUCACAUUCAUGCAUUUACCAUACAUGUGACUGUAUUAAUACUUUUGAAAGGUGUUUUAUUUGCUCGGAGUUCCCGUUUGAUACCCGAUAAAGCAAAUCUAGGUUUUCGCUUUCCUUGCGAUGGGCCUGGCCGAGGGGGAACAUGUCAAGUAUCUGCUUGGGAUCAUGUUUUCUUAGGUUUAUUCUGGAUGUACAAUGCAAUUUCGGUAGUCAUUUUCCAUUUCAGUUGGAAAAUGCAGUCGGAUGUUUGGGGUACCAUAAGUGAUCAAGGGGUGGUAACUCAUAUUACAGGGGGAAACUUUGCACAGAGUUCCAUUACGAUUAAUGGGUGGCUUCGAGAUUUCUUGUGGGCACAGGCAUCGCAAGUCAUUCAGUCUUAUGGUUCUUCAUUAUCUGCAUAUGGUCUUUUUUUCUUAGGUGCUCAUUUUGUCUGGGCCUUCAGUUUAAUGUUUUUAUUCAGCGGCCGUGGUUAUUGGCAAGAACUCAUUGAAUCUAUCGUUUGGGCUCAUAACAAAUUAAAAGUUGCUCCUGCUACUCAGCCUAGAGCCUUGAGCAUUAUACAAGGACGUGCUGUAGGAGUAACCCAUUACCUUCUGGGUGGAAUUGCCACGACAUGGGCAUUCUUCUUAGCGAGAAUUAUUGCAGUAGGAUAGUGGCUAGGAGGAUUUGAAAGGCAUUAUGGAAUUAAGAUUUCCCAGGUUUAGCCAAGGCUUAGCUCAGGACCCCACUACUCGUCGUAUUUGGUUUGGUAUUGCUACCGCACAUGAUUUCGAAAGUCAUGAUGAUAUUACUGAAGAACGUCUUUAUCAGAACAUUUUUGCUUCUCACUUUGGGCAAUUAGCAAUAAUCUUUCUAUGGACGUCCGGAAAUCUGUUUCAUGUAGCUUGGCAAGGAAAUUUUGAAUCAUGGAUACAGGAUCCUUUACACGUAAGACCUAUUGCUCAUGCGAUUUGGGAUCCUCAUUUUGGUCAACCCGCUGUGGAAGCCUUUACUCGAGGAGGUGCUGCUGGUCCAGUGAAUAUUGCUUAUUCUGGGGUUUAUCAGUGGUGGUAUACAAUAGGAUUACGCACCAAUGAAGAUCUUUAUACUGGAGCUCUUUUUCUAUUAUUUCUUUCUACGCUGUCCUUAAUAGCGAGUUGGUUACAUCUACAACCCAAAUGGAAACCAAGCCUUUCGUGGUUCAAAAACGCGGAAUCUCGUCUCAAUCAUCAUUUGUCAGGACUUUUCGGGGUAAGUUCUUUGGCUUGGACAGGACAUUUAGUUCAUGUUGCUAUUCCCGCAUCCAGGGGGGAGUACGUUCGAUGGAAUAAUUUCUUAGAUGUAUUACCCUAUCCCCAGGGGUUGGGACCCCUUUUGACGGGUCAGUGGAAUCUUUAUGCCCAAAACCCUGAUUCGAGUAAUCAUUUAUUUGGUACCGCUCAAGGAGCGGGAACUGCCAUUCUAACUCUUCUUGGGGGAUUCCAUCCACAAACACAAAGUUUGUGGCUGACUGAUAUGGCUCACCAUCAUUUAGCUAUUGCAUUUAUUUUUCUCAUUGCCGGUCACAUGUAUCGAACUAACUUCGGAAUUGGGCACAGUAUUAAAGAUCUUUUAGAAGCGCAUACUCCUCCGGGGGGUCGAUUAGGGCGUGGGCAUAAGGGCCUUUAUGACACAAUCAACAAUUCGAUUCAUUUUCAGUUAGGUCUUGCUCUAGCUUCUUUAGGGGUUAUUACUUCCUUAGUAGCUCAACAUAUGUACUCUUUACCUCCUUAUGCAUUCAUAGCACAAGACUUUACUACUCAAGCUGCUUUAUAUACUCAUCACCAAUAUAUUGCGGGGUUCAUCAUGACAGGGGCUUUUGCUCAUGGAGCUAUUUUUUUCAUUAGGGAUUACAAUCCGGAACAGAAUGAGGAUAAUGUAUUGGCAAGAAUGUUAGACCAUAAAGAAGCUAUCAUAUCUCAUUUAAGUUGGGCUAGCCUCUUUCUAGGAUUCCAUACCUUGGGCCUUUAUGUUCAUAACGACGUCAUGCUUGCUUUUGGUACUCCAGAAAAGCAAAUCUUGAUCGAACCUAUAUUUGCCCAAUGGAUACAAUCUGCUCAUGGCAAGACGACAUAUGGGUUCGAUAUACUCUUAUCUUCAACGAAUGGCCCCGCUUUCAAUGCGGGUCGAAGCCUAUGGUUGCCCGGAUGGUUGAAUGCUGUUAAUGAGAAUAGUAAUUCGCUUUUCUUAACAAUAGGACCUGGGGAUUUCUUGGUUCAUCAUGCUAUUGCUCUAGGUUUGCAUACAACUACAUUGAUUUUAGUAAAGGGCGCUUUAGACGCACGCGGUUCCAAAUUAAUGCCGGAUAAAAAGGAUUUUGGGUAUAGUUUUCCUUGUGACGGCCCAGGGCGCGGCGGUACUUGUGAUAUUUCUGCUUGGGACGCAUUUUAUUUGGCAGUUUUCUGGAUGUUAAAUACCAUUGGGUGGGUUACUUUUUAUUGGCAUUGGAAACAUAUCACAUUAUGGCAGGGCAACGUUUCACAAUUUAAUGAAUCCUCCACUUAUUUGAUGGGAUGGUUAAGAGAUUACCUAUGGUUAAACUCUUCACAACUUAUCAAUGGAUAUAAUCCUUUUGGGAUGAAUAGUUUAUCGGUAUGGGCUUGGAUGUUCUUAUUUGGACAUCUUGUUUGGGCUACUGGAUUUAUGUUCUUAAUUUCUUGGCGGGGGUAUUGGCAGGAAUUAAUUGAGACUUUAGCAUGGGCUCAUGAACGCACACCUUUAGCUAAUUUAAUUCGCUGGAGAGAUAAGCCUGUGGCUCUUUCCAUUGUGCAAGCAAGAUUGGUUGGAUUAGCUCACUUUUCCGUGGGUUAUAUAUUCACUUAUGCAGCUUUCUUGAUUGCCUCAACAUCAGGCAAGUUUGGUUAAUUUAGUUUGUUUUUUUGUACUGUAUCAGCACCUAGUUCAUUACUCUUGAUAGAGAGGGAGGAUCCGCCUUCUUAAAUUUCUUUUUCUAUUUAUUUUUCCAUCUAGGAUUAGAACCGUAUACUUGAUAAUAAUAGCAACGGCACAUUAUGGCAAAAAAGAGUUUGAUUCAGAGGGAGAAGAAGCGGCAGAAAUUAGAACAGAAAUAUCAUUUGAUUCGUCAAUCUUUAAAAAAAAAGAUAAGAAGCAAAGUUUCUCCCUUGAGUUUGAGUGAAAAAACGAAAAUGCGAGAAAAAUUGCAAUCCCUACCGCGUAAUAGUGCACCUACACGCCUUCAUCGACGUUGUUUUUUGACCGGAAGACCUAGAGCUAACUAUCGACAUUUUGGGCUAUCCGGACACGUACUUCGAGAAAUGGUUUAUGAAUGUUUAUUACCGGGUGCAACAAGAUCCAGUUGGUAAGGAUAAAAUACCCUUUCGUAUUUGUAUGGAUUUCUGGAAUUGAUAAUCAUAGAGGAGCCCUCUUUACCAUUCUGUAUAAAUGGACUAUUCUAUUUGUAUAGAUAUGGUAGAGGGACGUAUCGAACCCUCUUUUAUCCACUAGUUACCCCUCUUUAGUUUAAGAGUAUAGAGCAGUUUGGUAGCUCAUAAGUCUCAUAACCUUGGGGUUGCGGGUUCGAUUCCCACUACCGGCCCCAUACUCCUUCUUUAAUGAUAUAUGCAUGAUAUAUACAUCAUCCAUUUGUAUCUGGAUUUUUUGAUUUCCUAAAAGAGUUUUGGUCUAACAGUUUUUUCUCGGAAGAAGACAACAAAUAAAAGAAAGAAUAAAAGAAAGAAUAAAAUACGAAAGAAAAGCGUCCAUUGUCUAAUGGAUAGGACAGAGGUCUUCUAAACCUUUGGUAUAGGUUCAAAUCCUAUUGGACGCAAUCUUAUUUCUAUCUAUUCUUUAAAUAACUAUACUAAACUAAAAACAAAGAAAACUUUUUUGCAUGAUUCAAAUAACAAGAGUAGACAUGCAAAAUAACAAGAGUAGAUAUGCCAAAUUUAUUUGUUACUGAAGGGAAAACCGUUCCAGCUGUUCCUGAAUAGCUUCCUUCAAAAGGAUUUCCGCUUGCUCGGUGAAUGUCUUGCUAGAAGAUAUAAUUUCUUGGAAUUGAGGUUUAGUAUCUUUUAGGUGUUUACGUAACUCAUCCAGAAAUUUAUUUACCUGUUCGAUUUCUAACGAAUCAAGAUAUCCUCUUGUUCCGGUAUAAAUAGUAGCUAUCUGCUCUUCCACUGGGAGAGGAUUUGCCUGGGAUUGUUUAAGCAAUUCCCUUAAUCGUCGACCCCUUGCCAAUUGAUUCUGACUUGUUUUAUCGAGAGCAGAGGCGAAUUGUGCAAAGGCUUGUAACUCUGCGAAUUGAGCUAGUUCCAAUUUUGAUUUGCCAGCUACUUGUUUCAUGGCUUUAAUUUGAGCCGCGGAUCCUACUCUGGAAACAGAAAUACCCACAUUAAUAGCGGGUCGAAUUCCGGCAUUGAAUAGAUCCGCCGAUAAGAAUAUUUGUCCAUCUGUAAUGGAGAUUACAUUAGUAGGAAUAUAGGCGGAAACGUCUCCAGAUUGAGUCUCAACUAUUGGUAAAGCGGUCAUACUUCCUUCGCCUAAAAGAGAAUUUAAUUUAGCGGCUCUUUCUAAAAGGCGUGAAUGCAAAUAAAAAACAUCCCCUGGAUAAGCCUCACGGCCGGGAGGUCUUCUUAAUAGAAGGGACAUUUGGCGAUAAGCUUGUGCCUGUUUGGAGAGAUCAUCAUAAAUUAUUAAAGUAUGCCGUUCGCGGUACAUAAAAUACUCAGCCAGGGCUGCUCCCGUAUAAGGAGCGAGGUAUUGUAAUGUAGCAGGUGAAUCCGCCAUUUCAGCUACUACAAUAGUGUAUUCCAUGGCCCCCUCCUCAUGGAAAGUAGUUACUACUUGAGCUACGGAGGAUGCUCUUUGACCGAUAGCUACAUAAACACAUAUUACACCUUGCCCUUUUUGAUUGAGAAUUGUAUCUGUAGCUACUGCUGUUUUGCCAGUCUGUCUGUCCCCAAUAAUUAACUCUCGCUGACCGCGCCCUAUAGGAAUCAUCGAAUCGAUAGCAAUAAGCCCUGUUUGAAGAGGUUCGUAUACGGAACGCCUGGAAAUUAUACUUGGAGCAGGAGAUUCAAUUAAGCGAGAUUCGGAAGCUAUAAUUUCGCCUUUCCCAUCAAUAGGUUUAGCCAGAGCAUUUACAACACGACCCAAGUAAGCCUCACUCACGGGUAUCUGAGCAAUUCUUCCUGUUGCUUUUACAAAACUGCCCUCUUGUAUCAUCAACCCAUCGCCCAUUAAUACAAUCCCAACAUUUUUGGAUUCCAAAUUCAGAGCAAUACCCCUAGUACCUUCUGCAAAUUGGACUAAUUCACCCGACAUUAUUUCACCAAGACCUAUAAUACGAGCAAUCCCAUCCCCCACUUGAACUACGCGACCUAUAUUCUCAAUCCCUACUUUCCUAUUAUAUUGUUCAAUACGUUCGCGGAGAAUUUUAUGAAUUUCGUCGACUCGAAGGGUUGCCAUUAGUGUUUCUUGACUCUUUUUUCGAAAGCAAGGGGAAAAAUAAUGCCUAAAUUCUAAACGAAAGUAGAAGUUCAAGGCCUAAUUAAUUUAAUUAUCUCUUCCAUUCCAGGGACCCGAGAAUGCCAAUAUUAGCACGAAUCGUACGGAAAUGUAACUCGGUAUUCAAACAACUAUUCAGAGUUCCUAGAGCUCCUUGUACGGCCUGUUGGAAAACCCGCUGUCGGACCUGAUUCAUUGCCCUUUGUUUUUCAAAAUAAAGGGUUUCGUUUUUAGACUUUUCUAAUUGUUCCAAACUAAUAGAAGUAGCAUUAAUCAAAUUUGCUUUUUCUCGUUCUAUCUCAGAGUAUCCAUUCAUUCGAUACUCAUCCGCUUCUAGUUCGACUUUCUGUAAUCGAAUCCGAGCUUUUUCGAGUUGCUCAAUGGUCCCUCUACGCAAUUCUUCUGAAUUUCGAAUAGUACUCAAGAUCCUCUGUUUUCGAUUAUCUAAUAAAUCUUUUAAUGAAAGUAGAUUAUUUUGUAAGUUUACAACUUUUAUGAUCUCUUCCCGAACCAAACAUGAAUCUUUCGAUUCAUUUGGCUCUCACGCUCCUUUUUUUCUUUUUUUGCUAUAGCAAUUUCCAUAUCUUUUUUUAAGUAUAAGUAAUGAGCCUAUCCUCUAUCUUAUUUUUUAUGUUUAUAUUUCAAUAUACCGAAACCUAUAUAAGACUAGAUAAAUAUUAAGAGGACUCUUCCGCCUAGAUAAAAAUAUAUCAUGGUCAGCAAAGUUGUUUCUUUAUUUAUAUUUGCCCUUUAGUUAAUAAUUUCAAUUUCAUUAAGAAAAACUAACUAAAUAAAUGGAAAAUGAAAAUUAAUAGAAUUCUUUUUUUUUUUUCUUCAAAUCCAAAAAAUUUCUCUUUUUUAUACAUAGGUCGUCGAUUCGGCAUUGGUUAAAAAAGGGCAGGGUGCCCCUUCUUUUUUUUUCUAGUAAAUAGUUCAAACCAUUUUAUCGAUAUGAGUGUUCUAUAUCAGAUAAAUUUUACAUUAGCUAUUUCCCGUUUAAAUUCGGUACUAAUACUAAUAUAGUUGUAGAAAGAGUACCUCUUUUUGCCUGGACUUCAAGCAGUUUAGCUUUAACCGUGUUAAUGGUCUCACAUUCUUGGUUUAUAGAGAAUCAAAAUUGAUUUACCAAUGAGUCGCGAAAUGCUAUGGUUCUUCCAUAUGAUUUCUGAAUUUAUUCAGAAGUAAUUCGUCGAGAUCGUGCACCCUUUUCUUAUUUAUCCGAAAAAUACUAAAAAAUAUUCUAAAGUGCAGCCGGAUAGAUCCAAUCUAUUCUUGAAAUAGACAACUCGCACACACUCCCUUUCCAAAAAAAAUCAAAACACCAACCACUACAGUUAGAUUUAUUAGAUUUGUUGCUAAAAUAUCGGUAUUAAGCCCGAAACUGCCAGCGGAUGGCCAGUGAGCUAAAAAAACGAAAGAAUGGGUUACAUUUUUCAUAUGCUCUCCUCUUAUAGAUAGGACGAACAAAGAACAAAGUUUUUCGAUCACUUACUUCGCUCGCCCUUUUUUGAUCGGUUUUUUUAAUGCAAAUAGAUUCAAUCUAGUAAUUUCUUUUAGAUUAAGUCUUAGGUCUUGUUUGACCGGUGAAAGGCUUCCUUUGUUGAAAUGUUCCGUUCCCAAAAUUCCUAAAAUAAAAGGAAAAAACUUUCCACUUUCCUAAACUAAGGACGGGAAAUAAGAAGGCGAGCAUAUCUUCUAAAUUAAUCAUACUCAACUCAGCCCUUCCUAGAAUGCGGUAUUAUCUGUCCCGAUAAAUAGAUAAUUCCAGGAGUAAUAAAUAGGAGUAAAUUAAAUAAAGUAUUGAUAUAAUUGGAAUUGCGGAAGCAAAUACCAAUUUACUAAAAAAAGAAAAAAGUAUCUAAUCGAAAUCGAAAGAACUUUUUUUUUUAGGAUUAAACAAAAGGGUUCGCAAAUAAAAGCGCUAGUGCCACAACUAGUCCAUAAAUUGUUAAAGCUUCCAUAAAAGCUAGACUAAGCAAUAAAGUACCUCGUAUUUUACCUUCUGCUUCUGGCUGUCUCGCAAUACCUUCUACAGCUUGUCCUGCAGCAGUACCUUGACCAACUCCAGGUCCAAUAGAAGCAAGCCCUACGGCCAAUCCAGCAGCAAUAACAGAAGCAGCAGCAAUUAGUGGAUUCAUGGUGAGUAGUUCCUCGUGUCAAAAAAAAAGAAAUGGUUAAGGAUACAAUCAACCAAAAAAUUCUUACUUCUAAGCUCUAUUGGGGAGAAGUAAAGUAACUAAAAAGUACAAAUUGAAAUCAAAUUGAAAUGUGAAUUGUCCGAACUACAUAGAAGGGAAUUCUAUAUCCAUAUAUCGGAUUAGAUAAUGAAUCUAACCUAGGAAUAUAUAAUAUAAUAUCAAUAUCCUAUAUACAUUUGUUUCUUCUAUUUUGUUUGCAUAUUUUCUCAUUUUCUAUUGAAUCGGAUUCUAAAAUCAUUGCUUAAAGUGGAAACCCGCAUAAAAGAGGACUCCACUUAUAGAUAUUAAGGAUAUUUAUUAUAGUAUAGAUCUAGCCUGACUCCACCCUCCUUAAUGCAUAUAUACUUUGAAAAUUCCAUAAUAUAGUCUAUUCUAUUCUCUCUCCUACAACUCUAGGCUAUAUAUUCAUACGCAUUUCUAACUAUUGCAACCAAGCAGAUUAUCUGGAACCAUGCAUGAAUUGAGCUAAGCUGAAAAAAAAAAUACUAUAUUCCAAAACUAGUCAAUUCAAUGAUGACCCUCCAUGGAUUCACCUAUAUAGGCUGCGGCUAAUGUUGCAAAAAUAAGAGCUUGAAUACCGCUUGUAAAUAAUCCAAGAAACAUGACCGGUAUAGGGAUUACUAAGGGGACUAAAGAAACAAGAACAACAACGACUAAUUCAUCCGCCAAUAUAUUCCCGAAAAGUCGAAAGCUAAGCGAUAAUGGUUUUGUGAAAUCUUCUAGGAUGUUAAUUGGUAAAAGGAUUGGGGUUGGUUUAAUAUAUUUCUCGAAAUAGCUCAAUCCUUUUUUGCUAAGACCAGCAUAAAAAUAUGCCGCUGACGUGAGUAAAGCUAAAGCAACAGUAGUAUUUAUAUCAUUCGUGGGCGCUGCUAAUUCCCCAUGGGGUAACUCUAUAAUUUUCCAAGGUAAAAGAGCACCCGACCAAUUUGAAACAAAAAUAAAAAGGAACAUAGUUCCAAUAAAGGGAACCCAGGGACCAUAUUCUUCUCCAAUCUGAGUUUUGCUCAAGUCUCGAAUAAACUCAAGGACAUAUUCAAAAAAAUUCUGCCCGUCGGUCGGGAUGGUUUGUGGAUUCCGAACAGCUAUGACAACUGAACCUAGCAAGAUAGUAAUUACGACCCAAGAAGUGAUGAGUACCUGGGCAUGAAUUUGAAAACCUCCUAUUUGCCAAUAGAAGUGUUGGCCUACUUCUACACCCGAUAUAUCGUAUAACCCCUUGAGUGUUUUAAUGGAACAAGGUAUAAUAUUCAUAUUGUCCUCUGAUAAAAAUUGAACUUCAAAAAAGGAAUUCUUUUGAUUCAACCAUCUCUUUCUCAACUCAGCAACUUGAACUAUUAAUUUGAUAUUUAGGAUACCAAGAAAGCACAUCAGAUCAUAAUAUAUAUCAAUACCCUCUAAUAUAUAUCAAUAUUCCCCUUCUUUUUUCUAUGCAAAACAAAUUCUAUGCAAAAAAAGAUAUAGUAAGUCAUUCCAUAAAUCUACGCAGUUGUCCAAGAAUUCACUAUAUAUUCUUAAUCAACGAUUUCUUAUAUAGAGAGAACGGCCCUCACAAAUUGAAAAUACUAAUUUGUUAAGAAUCAAUCGAAUUGAAGUCAUAGUGUCAUCGUUGGCUGGAAUCGAUAUAUUCGCGAGAUCCGGGUCACAAUUUGUAUCGACUAAAGAAAUAGUAGGAAUUCCCAAAAUGGCACAUUCCCGAAGAGCUAUAUACUCUUUUUGCUGAUCAAGGACGAUCACAAUGUCUGGCAAUCUCGUCAUAUAUUUGAUCCCGCCGAGAUACCUUUGUAAGGUAGAUAAUUUUCUCUUCAAGAUUGCCACAUCUCUUUUUGGGAGAUGGUGGAAUUUUCCCAUUUUUUCUUCCGCUCUUAAGUCUCUAAAUUGAGAAAGUCUAGUUUUCGUAAUCGACCAAUUCGUUAACAUACCACUGAACCACUUUUUAUUAACAUAAUGACAACGAGCCCUUAUUGCAGCUGAUGCUACUAAAUCUGUUGCUCUUUUUUUGGUACCAACAAUUAAGAAACUUUUUCCCUGACUUGCUGCAUCAAAAACUAAAUCACAAGCUUCUGAUAAAAAACGGGCCGUUCUAGCGAGAUUUAUAAUAUGAGUACCUUUACGCUUUGCCGAAAUGUAAGGGGCCAUUUUAGGAUUCCAUUUCUUAAUACCAUGACCAAAAUGAACUCCUGCUUCUAUCAUCUCUUUCAAAUUAAUGUUCCAAUAUCUUCUUGUCAUUUUUUCCACACUUCCUUUUUUUUUCAUCCUAACAUUCCAUUACGGAAUUUAUUUCUUUUUGAAGAUUAAGAAAGAUCCGAAAUAGCUUGAAAUAAAUAAAAUAAUAAUUGUUCUGAGAGAACCUUGUACUAAGAGUUGGCCAUUGAUACAUUGAUACAUGGUAUAAACAAAACCUUAAUUUAAUGAAUUAACUGACUUGUUUUACUUAUUAAAAUAAAAAUCUUAAAAAUCUAAAAUUUAACCUGUUAGUGUUCUAAGUUCAAAAGUCUAGUAAAGUAAAAAAUAUGUUUUAUGUAUCCUUAGGGUUAAAUGUUAAAUGGGGGUUUUUAUGUCUCAUAAAAAUUGUUUGUUACGUCAGAAUCUGAAGAAACUAAUUCUGUAUGGAGAAACAAAAAAUCUCUCAUUUCCGACGCGAAUAGAUUUUUUUUUUUAUUUCGAAAUAAAGGUUCUUGUCUUGUGGGGAACGAUGCACAAAUUUUUGGAAUCCGGUACCAACAGGUAUAAUCCCCCCCAGAACUACGUUUUCUUUCAAGCCUUUCAACCAAUCAAUGCGACCUCGUAGGGCAGCUUUUGCUAAAACUCGAGCAGUUUCUUGAAAACUUGCUUCAGAUAUGAAACUUUGGGUAUUCAGGGAAGCCCUUGUUAUUCCCAAUAAGAUUGCCCGAUAAUAGAUCGAUUCAUCCAAAGCUCGCCCUGCUCGUUCCGCUCGCAAUAGUCCGAUUAAUUCCCCAGGCGAAAAAACAUUAGACAUUCCAUCUUCGGAAACCCGCACUUUUGAUGUUACUUGGCGUAUAAUAAUCUCUAUAUGUCUAUUAUGGAUCUGUACCCCUUGGGAUCGAUAAACCUUUUGGAUUUUAUUAACCAAAGAAAUACGACUUUGGGCUAUGGUUAGCUCAGCUCCAAUCAAGAAUCCCCAAGGGACCCCAAGAAUUCUUGGUAUACGCUCAUUCCAAUCCUCAAUUCUCCUUUCGAGAUUGGGGGAUAAUGAAUCAAUUGAACGCGCUUCAAAGAUUUGUUCCACUUUUGGAAGACCUUGCGUUAUGUCACUAGAUCUCGAUUUUUCAUAUAUAAACGUAACUAACCUAUCUCCCUUGUAAAGGAUUUCUCCAUAAUGACCAUUAACAGUUGCUCCUGUAGUGGCCAAAUAAGGUUUAGCUGCUCUUAUAACAAAGGAAUCCAUAUUUACACUGAAAAUUUGACCAGAUUUUUUUAUGUGCGAUUUAAAUAGACAUACAUUUUCACAAAUAAAUUGUCCAAGGUGAAUUAUUGCCAAUGUCUCUUCCCAAGAAUCAUGAUGGACAAAGUGACAAUUCAAAAGGAAUGGAUCCAACAUUAUGUUACUAUCGAAAUUGGAAAUCCUUUUAUUUUCAUCUAUUAAAGAGUAUUUAAGUUCUUGAAGUACUUGGAAGGUUUGUUUCAAAUUGUCAACGAACAAAUAUUUUUUUAGCAGGAUUUUAUUAUGCGUUAGUAAAUAGUAAGAUGAAGAAAAAUGCGAUAUACUAGCUACAAUAGCCCCUAAGGGCCCAAAAAUUUCUAGAAUAGGAAUUCUAGGAUUCCAUUCUUUUAUCGCAUUGGGAUGUUUUGAAUUCUUGAAUAAACCAAUUCGAGAACAGUUGGAUGCCGACAAAAUCAUCAAAGAUUGGUAUUCUUUAUUUCGAUUCAACAAAGUGCCAAUAGCUUCUUGAUGUUGGCUAAGUGAUUCAAUCUUCGCCUUGGAAUAAAAAGAAUUGCUAUUGGCGCGAUCUAACCUAUUAUGGGGAGUCGGUCCUCCACUUGUCCUAUCAUACCUUUUUCGUGUAUACGAAAUAGUGGACUUGACUAACUCAAUUCUUAGGAAAUCGCGAAUAAGAUCAUUUGCUCUUACCUCAACAAGGGAAGCACCAGCCUUUUCUUUUUCUUCUUGUUCCCAAUUCACUACUAAGCAAGUUCUAACAAAUUGACUAUUUGUGUGAUAAAUUCUUUGAGUUAACUUGCUAUUUUCAUGAUAAAUAAAAUUGACAAGUCGAAUUUGGAGAUUAUUUUCUUCUUGCAAGAGAUCCUGCGGGAAAAGUGUUGCUAAAUUUCUUCCUUCGUCCAUUUCAUAUGCCACUGUAGGGCGAACGGAAACAAAAUACUUUUCCUUGCUCUUGAGAAUUUUUUUCCGUUGAACAUAGACCCAAUUUUUCUUUUUUUUUGAUUCCUUAGAAUCUUUUUUUUGUCUUUCUGGCGGUAUCAAACACCCACCUAAUAUCUUAUCUGCCUCUUCAGGAAAAUGAAUAUCUCCGGAAAAUAUUUUGAGUUCCGUAUGGCUUUUUUUUCUCUUCACUCGGACCAGUCCGCCUAGUCCACUUCUUGUAUUUUUUGUGAGUUGUGUAUCCACUCCAAUAAUACUAUUGUCAAGUAUCUUUAGGGAUGAAGAUCUCGGCAAGAUAUGAAGUUCUUGAAGAAUGAAAAAAAACCGAUCUACUUCUUUUUGGUAUUUUAGACUAAAUUCUUUUGUUCCUCGAUGCUCAAUCAAACCCUCUUUUUUUAAGAUGGAAUCUUCCUCUGGGCUCUCGUAUUCGUCCUCUGAGUCUUCUUCUGAGUCUUCCUCUAAAGUACCAUAUUUUUCCUCGCCGCUUUCCCCGGGGCUGCCAUAUUCGUCUUCUGAGUCUUCUUCUAAAGUUCCAUAUUCGUCCUCUUGGGUCCUAUAUUUGCUCUCUGGGUUCCCAUAUUCCUCUUCUGAGUCUUUCUCUAAAGUCCUAUAUUCGUUCUCUGGGUUCCCAUAUUUGUUUUCUGGGCUCCCAUAUUCGUUUUCUAGGGUUUCAUAUUCGUAUUCGUCUUCUAGGAUUCCAUAUUUAGAUUCUUCUAGGGUUUCAUAUUCGUCCUCUCGGGUCCUGUAUUCGUGUUCUAGGGUCUCAUAUUCCUCUUCUGAGUCUUCCGCUCGAGUCCUAUAUUCUUCUUCUAGGGUCCUAUAUCUAAAUUUAACAAUUCCUGAACCCUUUUUAUCUUUUCUGUAUCGGGGAUCGUCAAAAUAAGCAAAAAUAGUAUUUCUACGUAAAACACCCAUAAAGGGGAUUUCAAUCGAAAUCCCAAAACAGGAUAUUAGUUCUUUCUCUUGUUCUUGAUGAUAUUGUAAUGGAAUGACGAACCUAUUUCUUCGCUUUUUCGCCAACAAAUCUGAAUUAUCUUGAAAAAUAGAAGGAUAGAUCAAAUUCCAAUGGCCAUUGGACAUGAUUCGAUCCGACGUUGAAUAAUCAAGAAUUUCCCUAUCUUUUUUACCAUAAGUAUUCAUUUGAUCUUGAUCCUUGUGGAGUGAAAAAGACGCUAUACUGGAUCUGCACAUACUUACGGAUAAUAUCCAUAAAUGGCUUGUUUUUGGUAAUCGACGAAGAUUACCAUAUUGAUAUUCGGGCGCAUGGUAAACAUCAGUACUCCAGUGCAUUUCGCCGUCUGAUUCAGAAUAAAUAUGCUUUUGUACCCUUUCUUUAAAAUGUAAAGUGGACGUUCCGGCACGAAUCUCCGCAAUUACUUGUUCAGAUUUUACAUAUUGAUCAUUUUGCACUAGAAUCAAGCUUUUUGAGGGAAUAUUCACACUAUAUAGAAUAUCUUGACUCUGAAUAGUUACAUGCAAGUCUAUAUAACAUAGAAAAGCAGGCUGUCCAUGACGGGUACGUGUGGGGUGAACCAAAUUCUCAUUGAAUUGGAUUUUUCCAUUCGAAGGGGAUCGUACAAGGUCGGCAGUACCCCCUGUGAAUACUCCGCCAGUAUGAAAAGUUCUUAAUGUUAGUUGAGUCCCUGGCUCCCCAAUUGAUUGACCCGCAAUAAUACCUACGGCUUCUCCCAAUUCCACCAGAUCACUAUGAGUAGGACUCCGGCCAUAGCAUAAUUGACAGAUCCAAGAAGUGCUUCGGCAAGUAAAGGGGGUUCUAAUAUAUAUUGGUUGUGCUCGAAAUGGUUGUGCUCGAAAGGCAGUUAUGAAUCGAUUGACUAAUCCAAUUCCAAUAUCUUGAUUUCGCGCGGCAAUGCAUCGUGAACCGAUAUAUAUAUCGUCUGCUAAUACACGACCAAUUAGUGUUUGGACAAAAAGUUUUUCCGUCAUCCCAUUUUGAGGACUUACAGAAAUACCUCGGAUAGUACCACAAUCUCUUCUACGCACAAUAAUAUGUUGAACUACUUCAACAAGUCUACGUGUAAGAUAUCCAGCAUCUGCUGUUCGUACAGCAGUAUCUACAACCCCUUUGCGGGCUCCAUAGCAGGAAAUUAUAUAUUCUGUCAAAGAAAGUCCCUCGCGUAAAUUGCUUUGAAUAGGUAAAUCAAUCAUUUGUCCUUGAGGGUCCGACAUUAAUCCUCUCAUACCUACUAAUUGGUGUACUUGAGAUGCAUUUCCUCUGGCUCCUGAAAAAGACAUUAGAUAGACUGGAUUAGAAGGAUCCGUUAUCCGAAAAUUUGAAUUCAUUUCUUGUUUCAAAUAUUCACUUGUCGCAUACCAUAUCUCAACAGAUUGGCGUAAUUUUUCUACCGCGUGUACAGCCCCAUAAUAAUAGUGUUUCUCCAAAAGAAAACUCUGUUGUUCCGCGUCUUGGACUAACCAUCCCUUAGAGGGUAUUGUUAAAAGAUCCUCGAUUCCUAACGAAAUCGAUGUAGUAGUGGCUUGAUAGAAGCCCAGAGUCUUUAGUUGAUCCAGUAUAUGGGAUGUAUAUCCCAUUCCAAAAUGAUCUAUUAAUCUGCUAAUAAGUCGUUUCAUACCAGUUCCGUCUAUCUCUUUAUUAUGAAAGACCAGAUUGGCCCGUUCCGCCAUACAUAAGUACCCCCUUUUCGGCUGAGUAGGAUUCGACAAUUGCUGAGUAGGAUUCGACAAUGGGCCUGAGUCAGUGAUUCGAAAAUUUAAUUAACUUAAUUGCCUCAAUCUCAAUCUGGAUUCGCGUGGCAAAUAAUGAUGAUACUAGGGAAAUCGGAAUGCCCCCCGAAAGCAAAGGGGAGGGGCAUCGCCGAAUCUAACUUUCUUGUUUAGGUAGUGUAUGAAUAGGCCUGACUAAAUCCUUGUACGGCUUCCUCUAUUUCUCUAUAAAAAGAAAUAUGACCAAGAGUGGUUCGAAUGUAUAUCGAACGAAUUUCUUUUUUUCUAUUUCCCAUUAUUAGAUAGUGAGCAUAAAUCUCAUGAUAAGUCCCCAAAGAUUCAUAUUGAAUUUCAAUCGGAACUUCUCUUGACCCAAUGACGCGUUGAUCCAGGUUCCAUCGUAGCCACAAGGGACUAUCUAAACUGAUUAGUUUUUGUCUAUAAGCUCCCAGUGCAUCAUAAGAACUAGAAAAAUGGGGUUCUUUAUCUUUCCUAUACUUAGAAUUAUUAUUAUUGUAAUUGACUUUUAAAUUUGGAUAGUUUCUGAAACUAUUAUAUCUAUUUGCACAAAUACCUCGACGCUUUCCAAUUGUUAAUACAUAAAGCCCGAUAAGCAUGUCUUGGGUUGGUACGCAAAUAGGAUCCCCAAUAGCAGGAGAUAAGAGAUUCAUAUGAGAAAACAUAAGUAAACGGGCUUCCGCCUGAGCUUCCAAGGAUAAAGGUAGAUGAACAGCCAUUUGAUCUCCAUCAAAGUCUGCAUUGAAACCCUUACACACUAAUGGGUGUAAAGAAAUAGUACGCCCCUCUACUAAAGUGGGUUGAAAGGCCUGUAUGCCUAAUCUAUGCAGAGUAGGUGCUCUAUUUAACAGUACAGGAUGUCCCCGCAUAACUUCUUGAAGUAUUUCCCAUACAAUGGGUUCCUUUUCCCAAAUUUUCCUUUUAGCAAUCCUGACAUUAGAAGUGGCGCGUUUCGUGAUUAAAUCGCGAAUUACAAAUAGCUGAAAAAGCUUUAUUGCUAUCUCUAGAGGUAAUCCACAUUGAUGUAAUGAAAGCGAAGGACCCACAACAAUGACAGAACGCCCCGAGUAAUCGACCCGUUUCCCAAGCAGAGUCUCGCGAAACCUUCCCUCUUUACCUUCAAUUACAUCUGAAAGUGAUUUGUAUACUUUAUUGUGACCAUCCCUCGUCGGUUGCCCGCGGGACCCACUAUCAAGAAGUGUAUCCACGGCUUCUUGUACCAAUUUUUCCUGGCACAUUACUAAAUCUGCUGGCGCUAAUUCACUUCUUUUUAAUAGAUAGGCAAGAUUGUUGUUCCGACGGAUAACUCUCUUAUAAAGUUCAUUAAUGUCUGAAGUCACUACUUUAUCUCCAGACCUAUAAACAAUAGGUCUCAAUUCGGGAGGAAGAACCGGUAAUAAGCACAAAACCAUCCAUUCUGGUUCUACAUUUGUUUGAAUAAAAUGUUUCGCCAAUUGCAUGCGUCUAAUCAAAAAAACUUUUCUUAUUCGUCUUUUUCUAUCUUCCCACUCAUCUCCACUAUACCCCUCGUCUUCUAAUUCCUUCCAUUCGACCAAAGAAUUCUCUAUAAUAAUUCGCAAAUCCAAAUCUGCUAAUUGUUCUCUAAUAGCACCUGCUCCUGUCGCAAUUUCCCGAUUUCGAAAUGUUGCAAAGCCUGGGGUAGAAAAAAAGGGAGAAAUGCUGUGGUUACAGGAUGCAAUUUCCUCUUCGAAUAAACCUCGUAAUCGUAAAAAAGUGGGUUUUUUAGUGCUGGGCCUAGCAAAAGAGAAAUCGCCGUAUACUAGGCCCUCCAACUUCUUAAGAGGUUUAUCUAAAAGAUUCGCGAUAUAACUAGGAAGACCUUUCAAAUACCACACAUGAGUCACGGGACAUGCGAGUUUGAUGUAUCCCAUUUGAUAUCUUCGUAUCCGAGAAUCCACAAAUUCUACCCCGCAUUUUUGGCAAAAUCUUUCGUCUUCGUUUUCAGCUCCGCUCGCUCGAGAAUUGCCACAACCGCAAAUCCCGCUUUUUAUGGGUCCAAAGAUUCUUUCGCAAAACAAUCCAUCUUUUUCUGGUUUAUCGGUUUUAUAAUGAAAAGUAGAGGGCCUUGUGACUUCGCCAACGGCUUCUCCAUUAGGUAGGUUUUUGUUAGCCCAAGCCUUUAUUUGUUGAGGGGAAACGAGUCCAAUUUGAAGUUGUUGAUGUUUAUAUUGGUCAAUCAUAAAAUAGAAAUAAGAAAAGAAUUUAUAUUUAUUCCGAUCAAACUUCCUCCCUAUUAACCUGGAAGUUCUUUUCAGAUACAAGGAAAUGAUUCAGUUCUAGAGCCAAAGAUCGUAGUUCUCGAACGAGCACUCGAAAAGAUUCUGGAGGAUCCUCAUGAUUAGGUAUUCUUUUUCCCCAGAUCGUAGCAUUAAGUAUUUCUUGGCGAGCUAUAAGAUGGUCAGAUUUAUAAGUAAGUAUCUCUUGUAAAAUAUGAGCAACACCAAAUCCUUCUAAAGCCCAAACUUCCAUUUCUCCUACUCGUUGUCCCCCUUGCUUGGCUCUUCCUCUAACCGGUUGUUGUGUAACAAGUGAGUAGGGCCCAGUAGAACGCCCAUGAAUUUUCUCAUCAACUUGAUGAAUUAAUUUUAAGAUAUAGGACUUCCCUAUUAGAACAGGUUGCUCAAAGGGGUCGCCUGUUCUUCCAUCAAAUAUUCUGCUUUUUCCCGGGUACUCGGGUUCAAAUACCCAUGGAUUUUUUGUUUCUUUACUGGCUUCAUAUAAUUCUGAAAACACAAGUUUUCUUGAAGCCUCUUGCUCAUAUCUCUCAUCAAAGGGUGCUAUUCUAUAAUGUUUCUUUAGCAGAUCCCCCGCUAAUCCGAGCGAGCUUUCAAAUAUUUGUCCCACAUUCAUUCGGGAGGGUACUCCUAAGGGAUUGAAGACCAUAUCAACGGGUGUUCCAUCUUGCAAAUAGGGCAUAUCUUGCCUAGGCAAAAUUUUGGAAAUGAUCCCUUUAUUCCCAUGUCUUCCGGCUACUUUAUCCCCAACUUUGAUUUCACGUUUCUGUAAAAUAUAUACACGAACCAUUAUGUCGAGGGGGUCCCUUUGGAUCCAUUUCACAUCGAUAACGCGCCCUCUUCCACCUAUAGGUAAUUUCAGAGAAGUUUCUUUUGAAGUGGAAACCUCAAGGCCGAAUAUGGCCCGUAAUAAUCCAGCUUCUGCGAUAUAUGAUGAUUCGCUCGCUAUCUGAGGCGUUAAUUUACCUACUAAAAUAUCACCAGUUUCUACCCAGGAUCCCAACCUAACAACUCCAUUUUUGUCCAAAUUGCGGAGUAAAUGUUCUUCUAGAUGUGGUAUUUCUUUAGUGAUUUUUUCAGCGGAGCCCUGGCUUGUCGUAUCCGUCUGAAUUUCAUAUUUCCGGAUGUGAAAAGAGGUAUAAAUAUCCUCAUAUACCAAACGUUCGCUAAUUAGUACUGCGUCUUCAAAAUUGUAACCUUCCCAUGGCAUAUAAGCUACUAAUACGUUUUUUCCUAAAGCAAGUUCCCCCCCAACUGUAGCAGCUCCUUCUGCUAAAAUUUGUCCUUUUUUAAUGGAUUUACCCCGUGGAACCCGAGGUUUUUGGUGCAUACAAGUAUUUUUGUUAGAGCGACGGUGGUUAACUAAAGGAAUACUUAUAGUCUUCCCACUACUUGAUAAAAGUAUCUUAUGACUAUCAGUAGAAAUGAUCUUUCCCUCGCGUUCGGCUAUAACGGAAACCCUCGAAUCUAGAGCUGUUUGGCGUUCCAAUCCAGUUCCAACAAUGCAUUUCUCGGACCGAGAAAGUGGAACUGCUUGGCGCUGCAUAUUAGAACUCAUUAAAGCCCGAUUCGCAUCAUUGUGCUCAAUAAAAGGAAUGAGAGAACCCCCAAUAGAAAAAUAUUGGAAAGGAAAAAUACUUCUAACAUGAAUCUGUUCCCAUGCAAUAGUCAAGAAUUCUUGGCGGUAUCUAGCUGGAACAACCUGUUCUUCCUGAAUACCUUGAUUCAAGGACAAAGAAUUUCCUGCUGCUAUCAUAUAAUACUCAUCUCUAUUUGGUGAUAGAUAAACCACCUGUCUCUCUUUUUUUUCUUUUGCUUUCUCAGCAGAUAUUUCAUAAAACGGACUCUCUAUAGAUCCCCACAAGUGAUCAAUUCUCGCAUGAAUUGCUAAGGAUCCAGUAAGUCCAACAUUGAUUCCUUCAGACGUGUCAAUUGGACAAAUACGCCCAUAGUGACUCGGAUGAAUAUCUCGGCUCCGAAAACUUGCGGUUCUCCCCGUCAACCCUCCAGGACCUAAACAACUCACUUUUCGCCCAUGAACAGUUUGUGUCAAUGGAUUCGUUUGAUCAAAAACUUGAGAUAAUGGGUAUGUGCCAAAAAAGGUCUCAUAAGUAGUUAUUAAUAAAAUUGAAGUUGAAGUUGGAGUUACCAAAGUUUGGGGAGUCGGUUUCGAUUGACGUAUGAAUACUCUACGAAUAGUUUUUUGAACUGCAUGUUGUAAACGACCAAGAGCCAAUCCGAAUUGAUCUUGUAACAGAUCCGCAACCGAACGAAUACGUUUAUUUUUCAAGUGAUUCAUAUCGUCAUCGUCAAGUAUACCCGUUCCAAAUUUCAUUCCAAUCAAAUGAUCCGUAGCGGCCAAUACAUCUCGUGGUAACAAGAAUGUAUUGUUCUGAGGUAUAUCAAGAUUAAGUCUCCGAUUCAUAUUUCGUCGACCAAUCCUUCCUAAUUCACAUUUUUGUUGAAAAAAUUUCUUUUGUAAUUCCUCGCAUAAGGACUCCGAAAAUACCAGGUCCCCACCUACACAAGCAAAUUGUUGAUAAAACUCCAAAAUAGCUUUUUCUUUUGACUCAAUCCUCUUCUUCUCCUUAGCAUUCGGGAAAGACAAGAAAAUUUCAGGGUAGGAAACAUUAUCUAGAAUUUCUCUUAGAUUCGAACCCAUAGCUGAUGAUAGAACUAGAAUAGAUAUCUUUUGUUUUCUACUCACGCGAGCCCAUAUCCUUUCUUUUUUAUCAAUUGCUAAUUCCGAUCUCCCUCCCCAAUCUGAUAUUAUAGUCCCGGUGUAGAUAGAAAUUCCCUUAUGAUCUAAUUCCGAGCGGUAGUAAAUACCAGGACUUAGCAAUAUUUGAUUGAUCACAAUUCGGUAUAUUCCAUUUAUAAUAAAGGUUCCUAAGGAAUUCAUUAUAGGAAUGUUUCCGAUAGAAAUGGUUUGCUUUUGCACAUCGAAACCAAAAAUUAAUCUCGCAGAUACAUAUAAUUCGGAAGAAUAGGUGAGUGAUUCAUACACAGCAUCUCUUUCUUUUAUCGAGGGUUCUAGCAAUUGAUAUCCUUUCGCAAAUAAUUGAAAUGCAAUUUCGUGAUCUGGAUCUUUAAUUGUUGGAAACUUGUCAAGUUCUUCUGCCAAGGCUUGAUUAAUGAACCUAAAAAAUCCCUCGAAUUGGAUCUGACUAAAUCCGGGUAUUGUGGACAUUCCCUCGUUUCCAUUCCGGAGCAUCUUAAUCUUAAGUUUCCUGUUUAUCAAAGAAAAAUUCCAUUAUCAGCUCACUCUUCAUCAAUCCCUACGGAUUGAUCUAGCAAUCAUGGAAUCUAUAUUCUGUUUACUGAAUCACAUGAAAUUCUAGGGAACUCCACAUACGUAUUUCAUAUAUGUAUUUCAUACAUAUGAAUAGAGACCAUUUCGACGAAAAUUCUAGUUUACCAGGGGUACAAAUGAAAUGAAAAUGAAUUGCUAAAAUAUUCCUACAAAAAAAAUUAUGCCACUUAUACUUUAUAAUAUUCUAAUCAGAUUGAAUGGCAAAGAUUUCUCAUUUUAUCCCCUUUCUAUGAAUGUAAUAAAGCCGUAAUAUAAUACACUAGAAAGUUUUACUUUACUUCGAUUUAGAAUAGCGUGCUUACUUUAAUUUCUAAAAAUAAUUUGAGGGUUCUUUUUUAUUUCGGAUCGGAGUAGUAUAAUUGCUAGAAAAUUAAGUAUUUCAUUGUGGAAUUCUAAAAUAAAGUAAGUCCCUUUUUUAAGUACAUGCCAAUCUAAUUAUCCACCUCUCCCCAUAUCCAUGCUUUUCUUUUAUCGUAAUUUCACUUGGGUAGGCCAAGAUAGUCAGGUUAUACUCUAAUAUCAGAGCAAAUUUCCUUUUUUUAUUCAAGAUAUUUAAUUUAAUACUUUGAAAAAUUAAAGCACGAUUCCCCAUAGAGAUAUGUACAUAAAGGGGAUCUUUGGAUAAUAAUGCUGCUCGGACCUAAAGUUCACCUAUACACGGAUUAAGCAUAAAGCCAUAAUAUUUUAUUAUGCCAUUGAAAUUGAAGGGGGGGAGAUAAUACCGAUUUAAGAGUAGUUCACUACUGCAAUUCAAAAAAGAAAGAGAAUUCUAGUUAAUGGUUCCAAUUUGUUCUGAAUUUUGCAGCCUGUGACUAGAAAUCCACUUUUCUUCUUUUUCAUCUCAAUAGAAAGAAAUGGGAAGUUUUAUUGUGUUAGCAAUGUAUGUUUUAAGAUAGAAUCUAUCGAGGAGAAUAAUCGAAACUGGAUCAAAAAAAGCAGGAGUAUCUUUUUUGAAAAAGAUUGGAAAAAAGUAAGUUUAAUUAUAUUCAAAAUAAAAGAAAGGGGCUUUUCGUAAGAAAACGUGGAUGAAUACUUGCUGUUUUCUAGAUUUUCGAUCGGAUUUUUUGGCGGCAUGGCCAAGCGGUAAGGCAGGGGACUGCAAAUCCUUUAUCCCCAGUUCAAAUCUGGGUGCCGCCUGAUCAAUAAAAUACUUAGGUUUUCUAGUACUGAUCGAAUUCAAUCAAUUUUUACUUCGCAUAAGUUCGGGCAAGAGAGUAACUAAGCCUGCCGAUACUGGGUUUAGAGAAACCAUACCAUAGUUCUAUCCUUAAACUAGGGUUAGGGUUUGUUUUGGCGGUAGUGGCCAAAAUGGUUAUCAAUAGGGGUGAGGUAGUGUUUCCUUAUUCUUUUAUUAUAUGAAUUUGAAUUGGUUCUUAAUUGAUUCGAUUUGAGAAUUUUUAAAUACGAGGAUAAGAUGUCAGAAAUCUUGGUAUCCAAAGAAAGGUCCCUAAGGGGCAUUCUUCUCUUUUUCAAUCUAAGAUUCCAGAAGGGACUCCACGAAAGAAUAUCAAGACUUCCUAAUUAUCAUACAUUUUUUUAUCGUACAUCUUAUGUGACCUACAUACACUAGAGUAACAAAAGGAAUAAAAAAUCUUCCUAUUCCCGCUUCUUCUAUUCAGGACAUCAUUCCCGUACUCUUUCUUUUUUAAGGUAAGGAAAAAAGGGCUUUAUAGUAUCGUAUUUUUAAUGCUCUCUAAUUCUACAAGAAUUCCUAUAAGAAUUUGUUAGGAGUAAAUUCCUUGAACUGAUUGAUCCAUGGCCUUAGGGCAGAAGCCCUUUUUGACUCUGUACCCUUGAUUCCACUAUGAUUAUUGAUCAAUAGUAGAAUAAUCCCUUCAUAGAAAUAGGAGACAUAAUUUAGAUGGAUAUAGUAAGUCUCGCUUGGGCUGCUUUAAUGGUAGUCUUUACAUUUUCUCUUUCACUAGUAGUAUGGGGAAGGAGUGGACUCUAGGGAUACGAUACUACUAAUUGAUUAAGUAAUCAAAUUGUUGUAUCAAUUCUUUUUUUAAUUGAUCGUUUUGCAUUAAUUAUUUUGUCAAACGUUAUUCUUUAAUCUUUUUCUUUAGUUUUGUUUCACUCCUGUAAGAAACUCUUGUAUUGUAAGAAAGAGCCAUUAUACCAAUUAAGAAUUUCUACUAGAAAUGACUAAUGGUUAAAAAAAGUUCUAUACAUAAGAAAAUUAGACUUUCUUCCACGGAACUAUUCACGGCAUAUCACACAUUUUCCAUUUGUUUUAUACUCUUUCUUUAUUCUUAGAAUAAUUUUUAUUCUCUUUUGAAGCAUCUCGCGGGAUAUUUAAGCAUGAAAGAUUCGCUGGUUUUUUCCUUUUACUUUUUACUAUAGUCUAUUCUUAUAUUAUUUUUCUUUCCUUCCAUGGAUUCUUUGGUCAAGAAUUGUCUUCGAUUUUUUUAUUUUGACCUGAUUGAAAUUAAGUGGAUGCAAUGAAAAAAGAAAUUGAAUUAGACUACUUAACUAUUUCAAUCUACUAAUCUAUUCUAUGUAGAUUCAAAGAUAAUAUAAUAGAAAGACUCUAAAGUGUCGUAGAAAAAACUAUAUGUAGUUCUUUCUACCACACUUUAAGAUUCCAACCAGAUCCUUUCAUUUAAGACUUGGAUUUUUUUUAUUUAAUCCCUUUUUCAUUUCUUCAAUGAUUAAUUGGAAUUCCACUUAAUUAUUUUGGCUGACUGUUUUUACAUAAAUAAUAAGUAAAAAAGAAGUAGGAAUUAGAAUGAACAGUGCAGUAGCAAUAAAUGCGAGAAUAUUGACUUCCAUAACCUCUUUAUUUUUUAUUUUCACAAUAACUCGGGAUGUAAUCCCAUGGAGAGGAAAAAGGGGUAUCUUGUAAAUUCAAGGGUAGGGCUUGCAUUCUGAUAAUACUGAAUCAAUUCAAUAUUAUGAAUAUCGGAUCUAUCAAAUCAAUUCAUGGAUGAGAGUUAUAUAGUAUAACAUAGGAAGAUCCUAUAUCCAUACUAAGACCAAAAUGGGUUUUUUGAUUGGAUUAGGAAUUCCCUCUUUUUUAAUCCUUUUUUUUCUACUUUUUCUUUUCUAUAUCUCUAACCCACGAGCUUUCUUAAUCUUAUACAAUUUCUCUUCCUUUUUCUUAUAGUUAUACAUACAAUUAUGUAUGUAUUAUAUGAGCAACUUUCUAUGGGUCACAUAGACAUCCAAAUAAGCAGUAGAAGUGAGAUGGGGAAAAGAGGUCUGAAAUAAAAAGGGAAUACAAUUUAUGUAUGGAUUCCGGUAAAAUACCGGUACUCU
rnacentral:lncRNA from 1 species